rnacentral:lncRNA from 1 species
UUAAAAAGAAGUGUUAAUUAAACCUUACCCACAAUUUUUAUUUGUUCUUAAACGCCGCAGCAUGGUUUCGUCAACAAUGGAUCUUCAUGGGGAAGAAGAAAUUCAUAUGCACACACAAUAUGAGACACGACUUUAAACAAAACUUCUCUAGCCAUUAGAUUAGAAGUUAAUAAAUGGUCAAGAUCAGGUGAGGUGAAUCAAUAAUCAUUAAACUUUCUCUCUCUCUCUCUCUCUCUCUCUCUUAUUUAUUCACGUUUUCUCUCUAACAUUAUUUACUCCAUUUUUUCUUGUCAAAAUGUUUUAUUUUCUCUGGACAUCGUCUUGAUCUGCUUCUCUUUCUUUAUUGCUCUCAUCUUCUCUUCUCAUUUCCUCAAAAUUAAAGAUAGCCACUCAAUAUGGAUUUAAAACAUUAAUUUUGUGGAGAUUGACAAAAGAUUAUCCAAUAUUAUCGAAAAUGCAUAUUGCAAUUUAGCAAAUGACUAUUAAAGUUGGAUUCGGAUACAAUCCACUUUGUAAAUCAAGUAGAAUUUUGAGGCUGCGUAAGUGUUUAGUUAUUUUAUGAUUACUUUAUAGGCUUUACAAGAAUGAAACUUUCACUUCUAAAUCAAAUUUAAUGUGUGGUAAUGAAAAUUUUGAUGGAGAUGGUUCUUGUUAGGGCCAUUAGUUUUAUCCUAAACACUAGUCAACAAUUACAAGAUUAAAAGAGUACAAAUUUACGUGGAGAGUAAAUUUUACUAUAAUUUAAAUUUUAAAUUUGAGAAGAAAUCGAAUAGGCAACUAAGGGAGAAAACGUUGUUAAAAAAAGAAAGAGAGAGAGAGAGAGAGAGAGAGAGAGAAAAUAAUGAUAAAAUAGUUAGUAAUUAAUAAGAAGGAGAAAAGAAAUUAAAUGAGUUAAAAUCUUCCCUUAUAAUGAAUCUUAACCAUUCAUUAUCCAGUAAUCUACUGGUCUAAAAAUCAUGUUUAGAAUUGUGUAAAAACUGUCUCUUGAACCAAUCCCAUGUGUGUGUGCGCACGCGCACGUACAUAUAUAGAUGGAAAUUUAGAGAAUUAGUUAUUAAAAUUAUUUUUUGGAACAAAAACAAAUAAUUUAUCAUGGAUAUAUGAAAAGAAUAUAUAGAAAGAUAUAUGAAAAGAAUCCCGAAUGCAUAACUAAUUAUAAUGAUGGAUUUGCAAGCUUUUUAUCUAGGGACUCCCUCAAUGAAUUAGAUCAGUCAACUUUGAUUUUCAAGCAGAAAAAGCAUCACAACCAGAUUUGAAAUAGACCUAGCUCAUGAUAUAAAAAAUAAUUGGCACAAGAAAAGCCACACCAUAAGAUUAAAAAUCUUCAGCAAUGAUAAGGAUGCAGCCAAAAUGAUAUAUGCUUGAUAUAUAAAUCCAAGCUAAUUGAAAUUUUCUGUCACAUCUUAGACCUAUAUGAACAGUUGCAUGGAGCUUAUUUUUGUGGUAAAGCCAUGUUCACAAGUUUGAAUGAAUCACAUGCAAUUCAAGAAAAAGCCUGUUCAGCUGGCGAGAAAAAAGGACAACAAGCAUCUUUCCUUCUUCAAGUAAGUUUCUGCAAUAAUUUACAGACAAUUCAUAAUGUGAACAACUAUUGCCAGGUUCCACAAUUCCAUUACUGCAACCAAUUUACAAAAUUCCUCUCACAUCCUUAAAAUUAAAUUAGAAUACUUAUGUAAUCUAUAAUAAAUAGUUAAGGAAUAAAUUAAUUCUUAACCAAGCAUAUACAAGAAGUUAAUUAGAAUUAAGUGUAUAUUUACUAAAAUUUCCAAAAUUGGAAAAAUAACAAAAAACUAAGAUUUACGAAAUUGGAAAAAUUAAAAAGAACAAAUUAAGAAGGGGAAUCUUUCAUAGAACAAAUUAAAGAUAUCUACACUAGUGGUCUAUGUGAAAAGAAUGUAAAGUGAAUUGUGAUCAUAGAACAAUCGAUUUGAAAUCUGCAGAAGAUUACUAGGAAUUGGUGAUUAAUUGCUCUAACCAAAAUUAAGUUUUCCUUGAUCUUCAUUUCUUGAUGUGAUUCGCAUGCAAGGCAUUUUGGCAUGACACACACAUAGUCCACAGGCAACUUGGGUUUAGGAUGAUGUAGAUUUUCUUAUUUUUGUUUUUGUAUAUUAAUUUCUCCUUUUUUUUUCGUGUCAGCCUUGCAUGGAUUUUAAUUUGUUUCUAUUUCAAUCACGAACACCUUGUUUUCUUUGCUUUUGAGUAACAAAUUACACCCUUUUCGGGAUUAUUAAUUUUAAGAAGAAAGAGUUGCCGACUUCUCAUAAGUACCAAAUUGCAUGAUCAAUCCCUUUAAUCAAUUUUUUCAUGAAACACUUGAAGAAAAAUAAACAUAUAAUAUUAGGUUUUGAAAAUCUCAUUACCGAAUUCUAGGGAUAGAGUCUUGAUAUUUUUCUUGCCAAAAUAACCCCGGCCCAUCAAGUAAUGAGAUUCAGAUAUAUGGAAACUCCUUAAUUCAUUUUGUGUGUGUGUCAGUGUGUGUGUGUACACGCCUCCUGUUCUCUUGUAAAGAGUGGUCUUACGUUCAUUUAAUAAGAUUAAGAUUAAAAAAAGAAAAAAAAAAACUAGUACUGGAAUUUGCAGAAACGAUAAUUAACCUAAAAUUCCAGAACAUCGGACAACAGCAAUAGAAACCCUACUAACUAGUACAGAAGUACAAGCUGAAGAAGAGAGAGCAUAUAUAUAAGUGAGUCAAAACCUUCGACGGAGGAGUUGUUGGAUAGCAUUAGCGACAGGAGCAGGUGAACUAACAUGUGGCAAAUGUCCAUGCGUCGGCAGAAACUCCAGCACAGUCGGGCCACCGAGAUGGCGUCGCAUAUACUCGGCAACCGCUGGCGGGACAGACAGAUCAACAGAGCUCUGAAUUAUACAAACGGGAACCCUAAUAAGGCCCAGCACGUGCCUUAGGUCAGCUGCAAACGCUGUUCUUGCGACAUGCAAGGCAAUGUCAGGCCUCAUGCUGAACAAAGUCCUGCUGAAUUCUUGGAGAGCCAUGUCAGGCACGUCCGCACCAAGUGCCAUUGGUACAAAGCCUGCGACCCAGGAUUCAUAAUUGCUCUCCAUUCUUCGGAACACUUCUUCCAUGUGAGCUGGAUCAAUACCCCCAAUAUAAUUCCCAUCAUUCGUGAACCUGAUCAUGAAUUCAUUAAUUAAUUCAUUUUAAGUUUAAUUAAUUUGCUCAUCAUAUUCAUAGAUCAGUGUCGUCUCGCAAGCUAAUAAAUUUGUAGUAAAUUAAACGGAAAAAAGAAUUAAAGUGAUCCAGAAAUUAAUUAAAUAAAACAAUUAUACAUACCUUGGAGAACCGCCAAUGAGAAUGAGUCUUGAGAAAAGGUUGGGACGGUGAAUGGCGGCUAAGAGACCAAUCAUAGCCGAUACUGAAUGACCAACAAAGGCGCAACGAUCAAUUUCAAGGGCGUCGAGAAAGCUGAGCAAGUCAUCAACGUAACCAUCAAGAGUGGCGUAUCUUUGGAAAUCAUAAUUUGUUGGGUCGCAGCUUCCUGAGCACAUUAGGUCAAAGCUGAUUACACGAUAAGCACGGGUGAAACUAGGGAUAACGCGACUCCAUACGGAUUGGUCAGACCCAAAUCCGUGGGAAAACACGAUGAUUGACUGCCCUUGACCUACUACUCGAACAUUUAGUGCUUCCAAGAGAAAUUCGCCACGGUUAUUGUAGUCGGCCAUUUUAAUAGCAAAUUUAUUAAAAUUAAUUUAUGAGUGAACGAAAUUAAUAUUGAAAAUAUAUUACUUGAUUAGAAAGAAAUUAAUAUUGAUUGUUGGUGCAAGUUUUGAUAUGUCUCAAGGGCUUGUUUAUAUAUAUAGAAGAUGCAAGAGCGCGGUCUGGUGUCUAACAGGAUCUAGGGUUUUGAUUGGGCUGUGUCGAUGCUAAUUGACACUCAUGUCUGUGUAGUUUAAUUGACAAAGGAAUAAUGUUUUCUUUAUUCGUAUGAGCUUUUUCUAAGUAAAUACAGAUAUAUUAUUUGUUGUUAACUAAAGGACAUGAAUUAAGUAGAGAACAAAUGAUAUGCACCCCACCGUUAAAUCCCACUUCAACCACACCAACGUAAAUUUUUGGGUAAAUUUAUUAUUAAUUUAAAAUUUAGGUAAUUUUGCUAUUAGUUUAGUUUUUAUUUAUUCUUGUAUGUUAUAUAGAAAUUUAUGCGAUCAAGAGGACAAACACAUGUCAUUGGGCAACAAUUAAUUAAUAUGUUCUCUUAGGAGGGAAUAUUUAUUCGGCAUAAAUAUUGGCAUGAUGAGAGAGUUUUUAAUUUCAAUUUAUGUUAUAUUUUAUUAGAUUUUUGUCAUGCCUGUUUCUACAUUAUCAUAGAUGAUUAAAAUAUACACGUGAAAGAAUGAAUUUUGAUUUCAAGCAAAAUAUAAAAUUUCAAUUUGGUGAUUUUGGAUAAAAUGAUACAACUAAUUAAAUUAUGACCAUAGACACUAUUAUAAAUAUGCAUUUAACAUGUAUUUUUAAAAAACUUAAAAACGCAUCUUAUAUCGACGCGAAAUCCAACCCUUCAAUGAAUUUUAAGUAAGUGGUGCAUGCAACUUAAACGUCCAAUUUUCUUUCUCACAGAUGGCUUGAAGAUUGGCCCCGUAAUGGUAGUGGCUUCUUACACUAUUAUGGCCCUCUGGAGGUUUCAUUCAUAUGAUUUGUAACUUUAUCGGGUCAUAUUUUCCUUAGGACCUUCUUAUUAUUUGUGGGCUUUUCAUGCGUAAAAUAAAAUACACAUGAAAUUGAUGAUUAAUGAUUAAUACACAUGAAUGAUCGGUGAAUAAUUGAUGAUAAUAUUGGAGGUAAAUAUUUUGUAAGUCCUAGUUUUUAAGUCAAUCACUGAAUUAGUUAGUCUAUAUAUUUUUAAAGAUUAAUCAAAAUGUUUAUGUUGUAUAUUUGUUUGUAUUAAAAGUUUCUUAAUUAAUUUUCUUUUUCAUUAGAUGCACUUUUAUAACUAUUAAGUUAUAAAAUAUAAAACAUUAUUUUAUCAUUAUUGACUAAUGGGGUUGAAUGAAACGAAAGGAGAAGUAAAAGGUUGGGGGUUUGUAUUGUUCUUGAAAUCUUUUGGAUUAACUGUGGUAUUUAUUCGUAGGUACUUUAAUGCUUUAUAUUGAUCGGUAUACAGUCCCAAUUUGGAAACGUCAAAAGAAAUUUGGGCUAAACGGUGGCAAACUAACCAAUCAAAGAAGAUAUAUAUUUGCAUUAUGCAAUUCAAGCUUCUGGUAAUUAAUAUUCAGUGAUUAGUUUGCAUAAAUAAUGAGAUCAAUAUUCAAACACUAUCCAAUGGUCAGUGAUGAGCUAUUCUGUGAACUUCGUGGUAGUUUGUACUUUUUCCAAAUUUGCUUCGACUGAAAAUGGCCACCAUUAUUAUUCGCUUUGCACAUUCUCAGCUAAGUUCUAUAUUCGUGUACUUAGCAUCAAUAAUUUGCGUAAGAUACAUAUUACUCGUGACGGAGAGCAUCAUGUAAGUCCAACGCCAUCAAUAUUCGGCAAGUUGUUCACGUGGAUGAAGAUAGAAAAACUAAUUUUGGCCAAACAUUUUUUUUUCAUAUAUAUUUAAAAAGAAUUAAAUGCUUCAAUCAAUCUUGUUGCCCAUACCGAUCCAACUUGCAACCAUCCAUUCGCUAACUGUGCAAUUUAAUUUUACUGGUGUUUUCCAUUUCAAUUUUAACGGAUAAUUACAUCUCCCCUUUCAGUUUGGCAAAAGUACGUUUUCUUUUCAACUCUUAAAGAUAGACUUCUAUUAUUAGUGACAAAUAUUCAUUAGCGUUAAGAAUUUGUUAAUUAGAUGAUAAAAUUGUGAAAGUAACAUCUACAUUCGGUCAUUUACGAAAAUUUAUAGUGGUGUUAUAUAUAUAUAUAUAUAUAUAUAUAUAUAAAAUCAUUUUUAGGUGUAGACACCUUCAAUUUUUUUAAUACUGAUAAGCUAUUAAACUACUAAAUACAUAAUUAAUAUUCUCAAGUGCCCACGCCAGUAAUUUUUAUUUUUUUAAUACGAAUACACUUUUAAAUUGUGCGGUUUAAGAGAGUUAAAAAUUACCUCUCUUAAACUAUAUGAUUUAGAAAAGUAUCUGCAUGAAAAAAAUAAAAAUAAAAGUGUCUGUUCUAUAGAAUGACUAUAUAUAUAUAUGUGUGUGUGAAUACACACACAUUCAUUAUUAUUGGGUCAUUAUAUAUCAAGUUAAUUUUUUUUUUUUUUGGAUCAUACAAUUUCUCUAAGAUAGUAUCACAGCGAAUAUCUCAAAUCUUAGUGCAAUUUAAUUGAAGAGAAAAUUAAAUUAAAUAGCCCAGAAUCAGAAUGCUAUUGCAACCAAAGAGUUACGUAAGUGGAUUGAAUUAGUUAAUUAAUUAAUAGUAGCUAUUUCCUGAAAUUCUCGAAGCAUUAAUUACCCAACACACAUUUCUUUGAUACUUGAAGAGAUAUAUAUUUAAUUAAUUAAAUACCCUUUUAGGUUAGGUCUCGUUUUUAUUUUAUUUUAUUUUUACUUUGGUUGUUUCUGAAAAGGAUGGUUAGGUCUCGUUAAGAUGAAGAGAGUAGUGAUGAUGAUGUUUAUGUAAGAAAUUAAAACACAGUGAGUCAAACAAAUAAAAUUAGUAGGCAAAUUAACUGAAGCAACACUGGAAAUUACAACUGAAAACAGCAGUGAAAAGAAAAAUCGAAACAGAAAAAAUGAAACCCGAAGACUGCACAGAACAAUUUCAUUAAAACAGAUUUACCACCUACUGAAGUGUUUUAGGUCUUUUGGUAGCUGUUUCCCAGGAUACAACGGGCACGAAUUUCCGGUCAAGCACAGACAGGUAAUUCCGGCGAACCACAACAGUGGCAAACUCGAUCAAGAAAAAACAGACGAAAGGAGGAAAGGGAAAAAUUGCAAGUGCUCUGUGUGCUAGUUUUUGUGUUCGUUAAAAAAAAAAGAGGGAAGGUGCCUUUUUAUACUCAUGUGGGUAGGUAACAGAAGCAAAAGAAUUGAAUUUCGGAAUUCAAUAUGUGCAAUUUAAUUGCUGUAACAGCCAAAAAUAAUUGUAAAGUUGUUACAAAUCUUUUGAAUUCAAAGAGGUGUGAAACUGUUACAAAAAAAAUUCAAAACGUGCCAUGCAAGCUUGGAUGAUUUUGGGCUGACAUUCGCGUACGCACCCGAGUUCAAUCAAAUCGGUCUUGGAUUUGCACCCCCCCUGCGUACGCGCGUGUGGAAAAAGCAUCUAUCCUUAUAAUUCUUAUUCAUGCAUAGUUAAGUGUUUAUAUAUAAACACUAAUCCCUUGGCUUCUUUUUCCCAUGUGAGAUAAGCCUCAUUUCCUUUCAAUUUUCCAACUUUAAGGGUGAACUUUGAGAGAUAAUUUCUCAUGCACCCAAGCACCAUUUUGAGAAAAUAAAAUUACUCUUUUGAAGUAUUAACAGAAUAGAAUCCGAUAAUCACAAAAUUUCUCACUUUCGCUAAGUGAGACCCACUCAAAAUGUGCCCUCAAAAUAGCAUAUAGACAUGCUAUUUUUUCAACAGUUUAGUCACGGGUAAAUAUAGUCUAUGCGAAUAUAAUGGACUCUAGCUCUGAAAAGUUGCAAAAGUGAAGAAGCACAGAAUUUAGCAGGGAAUGUUGAUAAUGGCUUGCCGUUUUCUUUUUCACUGUCCAUGCAAAAAUUGGAAAAAAAAAAAAGAAAGCUCAAACAUGGCACGAACUCCGAGCCACUGCGGACUUAUUCACAUCUUAAACAUAAAAUUUCAAUUUGAUUUAUUUUUCUUGUAAUCUAAUCUCUGCCUAAUUAGUUGAGUUGUACAUUUAAACUAGUAGGACAAUAUUCCUAAGAUUGUUAUAAAUGAUGCUGACAUUGUAACAAUAUCAAUCACAACACGGAAGAGCAAAACGAAAGAAAGAAAGACAGAAAGAAAAGAAAGAAUGGACUCGGGAAAUGAAUUUUGGAAAGAAAGACAAAUCCUCCUCCUCCGAGUAAGAGUAAUCGAGUAGUCUUUGAAGUGGGUAAUGAGGAAGGGGAGAUUUCGGUGGGUUUUGAAACCGGCUGGGGCAGCAAACUGUUUCUUGGUUCCACAACUCCGAAGCCGACGGUGGUGGGUCAUGGUGCUGGCCGUUGCAGCCACUCUUCUGCUGAUAAUGGUGGCUCACUGCAGAGAACAUUGCCUUACGGUGGCACUGGCGCCCAUGGGGUUGGGGGACCAGGACUUGUUGGCCUUCAAUACUUGGCUAGACCAUCCAUGUCCAUGCGGGUCUCCUCUCCUGGAAGAAUUUUUCAGAAGCCACUUUCAGCUCCUGCUUCUGCUUCUGUCGACAUUGAGAAGCCUUAUUUCUUUUUGCGCAAUCUGGAGUAGGAAGUUUGAGACUGGUGUUGACAUUUUCAUGUUACAGGAGAUGCACUUCUCACUCUCUUCGUUCAACACUUUGAUGUGUGUGCGUGUGUUUUAAUUUUUCUGUUACGAAGGAAUUUGAUGAAACAAAGACAAGCUUUCUCAAAUUAUGAAUUUUAGAGGGUUUCUUUGACGGGUUUUGACUUCUAAUUUACUUAGUAAAAGGUCCACUAAUAUUAUCCGCAUAAAAAGGAAAAAAAAAUAGUUGAUUUCUUGGUGCUUGAAAUAUUUUAUGUACCCUUAUAAAAAAAUAAACACACACGUAUACUUCUAUUUAUUUCUUUGUUUUAUUUAAUUUCUCGGGAAUGCUUAAAAAUUUUCAAUAGUGGAAAUUAUUCCUCGAGAUUAAUUUUAUUGCUCUGACGAAUGUUGACUUUUGCGGAAAUUAUUCCUCGAGAUUAAUUGUUGUGGGAUUUUAAUUUUGUUUUCUAUUUUUAGCACAUAAUGCUAACGGGCAUAAGCCCCUAAUUAUAAGUAAAACUUUCAAUUUCGACUCAUCAAUAACAUAUAUUAAUUUCACAAUUCAUUAAUGGAGUUCUUUUUUUUUUUUUUAAAUUUUCCCCAGGGAUGAUUAUGCUUUUUGCACCCUAGAAUGCAGGGCAGUACAGAUAAGACUUUUUUGAGAAAAGAGACUCGAUGAGCCGUCGUUGGAAGAAGGAACGACAAAGAGCAGCCGCUAAAUCCACCACUGCUUAUAGCAGGGGUCAAUCAUCAUGAUAUAUGUAGCAAAUAAUUUCUUGUAGGUGCAUGCAAGAAAUUAUCUUCUGUCUUAUGUUAAAGCUGUAGUGCUUAAUUUGAACCCUGUUUUAUUUUUUAUGUCAGUCUGCGCUGUUGAAGAACAUGAUGAACUUGCACUAUAUGUAUGAAGUUUGCACUCUUUAACCACUUCUAUAUAUGUUCAAUGUUCCUUCUGUUUGUGAUCUGUUAAUUUGUACUACAAGGUUUAUUUUCUCAUCAAUUUGUCUUUAAUUACAUAUAAAUGAGUGAGUUCAAUGAAUUGUGGGGGAUGGGCAGCGUGUUCUUCUUUGCUGGAAUUUUUGUGUAUGCCAUUUGAUGGUGUUUUUUUCAAUAGAAUGAGUGAAGGAGAUGCCAUCAUUUUUCUGAUGAAAAGUUAUAGAAUUUUUUUAGUUUCUCUUUUGGGUAAACUCGAUGUAUUGUUUUUUACUCGACCAGAAUACCUACACCAAAAAAUUGUAGUUGGGAAGAUAGUUUUGAGCUACACCUUCUUGCCUCAAGCAAUAACUGGCAACCACGGACACUCCAGAAUAUUUGCGUUCAUAGUGAACAAUUAGAGAAACACUAGAGAUUUUUGCAGUGUUAAUCCUCCAACGUUCAAUUCAGUUUAUUAAUAAAAUGAAUAUAUAAGUAUCUACCUUUGAGUUUAUUAAUAAAAUGAAUAUAUAAGUAUCUAACCUCAGUUAACUUACUUUUACUGAAAAACUUUUCACAAAUAGGACGGAAAAUUAAGAAGAAAAAGAAUAAACUUUUGUUACUAUUUUUUUCCCUAUGAAGAGAGUUUGCGGUAUAGAGAGAAAAAGAUAAACAUACCAAUUUGAAUUUUUCGGAGGCCCUUAUAAAGGUUAGAGACCUAUGACUCUUAAAUUGGGAGAUGAACGUUAGUGAAUCAAGUUAGUGUCCUGAUUUUUCAGAGAGGAUACGCAAGUUCAUCUUUAAGAAUGCGUUUGGAAUUGAGGUUGGGCAGUAUUAAAGUGUUUGGUAAACACUAGUUGUUGUAGCUUGAAAUCUAUGUUGAUGUGAUUUUUCACUUGCAUAAUAACAAAUUUAUUAUAUCUUUAAUAAUUUUAUCAAAAUUAUUAUUUAAAAUUUAUAUUUACUAUAUAUUAUUAAUUUUUAUUUUAUAGUUAUAAUUUUUUUUUACAGUAUAGUUUAAAAGUUUCAACACUUUAAUCUCAAACAGGACCUAAGUCCGACCGAAUUUUUAGAUUGACUUGGAUUAGAUCUCUUCUAGUAGGAUCCCUCCUCAAGAAACCAUCUGCUCGCAACUCUGUAAUUUAAGGAAGUUUAGUCACUUUGCGAGUGCGAAUUGAAUAUACUUCGAGCGGACUUCUUGUUGCUGUCUACAUUUAAUAUUGAGGGGAUCUCAAUUUGCACAGAGAAGCGUCUAUUCACGCUCCCUCCUUAUCCACCACACAUAGGGAUGGCAAAUUUUUCCGGACCCGGCCCGAACCCAGAUAAAUCCGGAUGAUCUGGUCCGGGUUCAACCCGGUUCGAAUGCACAAAAAUGCGAAAUCUGGAACCCAUUUUACAAACCCGCACAUGUCCGGGUCCGGUUCCGGUUUUAGGCGAACCUGUAUGUCCGGAAUUCGGACCCGGAAAUUUAUUAAUUUUAAUAUUAAAUUUUAAAAAAUAUUUUUAAUGUAAAUAAGAAAAAAAAAAGAACCCAAAGGUGCAUAGGGCUUAAAUCUUAAUUCAUUUACACUUUCACAGCCGCAGCAACACAUUUCCUCUCUCUCUUCAGCUCGUCUUCAUCAAAUCAAAUCAAAACAUCGUCGUCGUCACACUCACUUGCCCACCUUUGCGGCUGUUCAUCAUCAUCAUCAGCCGUCUUGGCGUCUUGCCCACCUUCGCGUCGCGGCUGUUCAUCAUCAUCAGCAACUCGUCUUGCCCACCUUCGCGUCGCGGCUGUUCCUGCAGGGUUCGAACCAAGCUAAUUUGUAUUUGAUUUGUUUAGGCCAUGGAUUUGUAUUUAAUUUGCUGAAAUCCUAGAUUUGUAUUUCCAUUUGAUUUGUCAGUUGAUUUGUCAUUUGAUUUGUAUAGACUUGUUUAUUUUUCGGCUUCUGUUGCGGUAGCAAUUGGUGCAGUAGACGCGGCUGUGACUGUGGCUUGGCGUGGUGCUGAGUACCGUCUGGUGGUAGGUGGGGGAACUUGCAGUGUGGGGUUUGAUGCCCAAAGAGGUUUCCAAAAAUUACCUCAAUGCAUACAGAGUACAUAUAGCUAUAGUGUCGUGCCUAGGGAUGGCAAUUGUACCCGCAAACCCGCAAACCCGCCCAAACCCACCCGCCAAAACCCACCUGUUGUGGGUAAUUUUACCCGUCGCGGGUGGGUUUAAUAUUAUAAUUAAAAUCCGCACAUGGAUGCGGGUGAGUUUGGUAUUAACCUUAUAUCCGGUGGAUACCCGCAUGGAUAUCCACCAAACCCGCAAUAUUUUUUUUCAAAUAUUUUUAAUUUAAUUUAAAUAUAAAAAUGUAUAAAGAAAAUAAUGUCAUUAAUCAAAUUACCAAAUAGACAAAGGCUCAAAGUUGUGUAUGUGUGUAUGUGGCCCAUCUCUUAUUCUAAAGUCAUAACCUAAAGAAAACUAAAGGCAUUUCCCUUCGAAUUAGUAUUUGAAAAUAUUAAUCUUAAUUAUUAUUAUAGGCAUUGUGUUGGAUGGGUGCUUAUGGUGGUGAAUGAAAUGAAUAUCUUCUCUUGGAUCUUGUUUUAAAUGAUAAUAUGAAAUGUAAUUAUUAUUUUUAGAUACUAGUUUGUGUUUUUUAAAUAAAUUUGUGUAAUUUAUACUUAAAUUUGAGAAUUUGUAUUGAAUUGAUGUGGAAAUUUUAAUUUUUCAUUGACAUUGUUUAAAUAUAAAAUUGAGUAUGCUAUAUGGAAUUUGAGGUUAUUAUUAUAAAUUUAUAUAUUAAAUAUUUGUGAUUUUAAAUACGGAAACCAGCAAAAAAUCCGUCGGAUACCAUUACGGGUUUGGUAAUUGUUAAAACCCGCUGCGGGUGGGUUUUUUAAAAAAAAUUAAAACCCGCUGCGGGUUGCAGGUGGGUUUGGUAAUUUAAAUUUUGUGCGGAUUUAGGUUUGGUAAUGGCAAACCCGCUGCGGGCGGUGCCCAUUGCCAUCCCUAGUCGUGCCUGAGGGGCGGGCAUAAACCGAAUAUGAACCAAACUGAAUUAUAUGAUUGGGUUCGAUUCAUGAAAUUUAAUUUUUUUUUUAUAUUACUUAAAUUUUUAGUUUUUUUUUUAAUUAGAUUCAGCAAUCCGGGUUGGAAACCCGCAAUCCGGAAACCCGGAUUUUUCGGGUUGAACCCGGACUGGACCCGGAGUGGAAAAAUACGGGUUAUGUCUGGGUCCGGUACAGAAAAAUAUUCGUCUGGGUGCGGAUCCUGAAAGGCUGAACUCGGACCCGGACCUGGACCCGGAUUUUUCCAUCCCUAACCACACACUCCUAAUAUUUUAUAAUAAACAUGACACAAUGAAAAAAAAAAUUAUUUUAUUGGAGGAGAGUCUAAAAAAACACUAAAAUCACCUUUUUGUUUUUCAAUUUUGAGAAAUGAUACAUAAAAUUAAUAAAUAUAAUGGUGAGAACAAAUCCUCUGUAAAUGGUUUAAAAAAUAUUUUGCACACGUACCAAUCAAAUGCAUUUCUUAUGGAGUAUUCAGUUUAGAAACCGAGGUUUUUUAAUUCAAUAUUUAAGAUUACAUUAAGCACGUACAAUCCUAUAUUAAGUCCUGUUUCGUCAAUAUACUUUGGAAUAUUGACCUCCCAUUGAUUGGGUUUUUUUGGUUGAUGUUACAUAUGAUGAAGAUCAAACUAAUUAAUAGUUUUGUUUUCUAAAAAAUUUUCCCUGAUUUAUUUAGUUUAGCUUGUCAUUAAGUCAACGAUAAAACUGUCAUAAUACUUUGGUUUAUUUUAAGCACGUGCUCAUCACGAUAGAAAAGUAAACAUAUAAAUAUAAAUUAACGAACAAAUUAAAACACUCAACAUUUCAAUGAACAUUUCGUUGAUAAAAAAACAACAGUAUUAGGGACUGCUAAACGUAUCAAACUACAGAGCAUGUAGAUAAUAACAUCAUCCUAUUGGAGGAUAAAGAUAAACUAAGCAUAGUAAUUAGUUCCACAACAUCAUCAAAUGAGAACACCAAACUCACAUACACUUUAAGUUUCGCAACAGCGGCCAAAAAAGGGCAAUUAGAGUAGCAGUUUCACGACAGUAAUGAAAGCUGAAAUUAGACAUAUUCCUAGGACAUUAGUGUUGCAUGCAUUUUAAAAUUCUUCCGGGGAUAUGGCUACCUCCAAAUUGCCUACCUUGUAGUCCCUGUAGCUUCUGAGGGCAUGUUCUUGGUGAGUCUAAGAAUGGUUGAUACCAUUCGUUCUGAGUCAAUUGGCUUUGUUAGAUACGCAUUCAUCCCCACCCCCAAGCAUUUUUUCUCAUCCGCAUUCAUUGCAUGAGCCGUUAGUGCAACAAUAGGAAUAUUGCGCGCACCGUGUUCUGAUUCCGAUUUCCUGAUUUCUAUUGUUGCUUCGUAACCAUCCAUCUUCGGCAUCUGAUUUGUCACACAGACGUUAAACACGUUAAAGAAUUUUGUUGAAUUAAUUAAUGUAUGCGUUCGAUGUUAGCAAAAUGAUACCAAGGAGUGAGACUUGAUUACUUACUUGGCAGUCCAUUAAGAUCAAGUCAAAUCGAGGGGUAUCAGGAGUUUCUGAUGGAGAUCCUUGCAGGAGAGAUCUCCUUCUGGAACUUUCUGCUGCAAGCAUUCGGUUCAGAGCUUCUACUGCCUGCAGUCCAUCUGGCACGACAUUAACCGUUGCUCCAACCUUUUCUAAUAUUUUGCAUGCCACUAUCUGGAUCAAUGGUGUGUCUUCAGCUAGCAGUAUCCUUAGGCCUUCAAGAAUUCUCUUUUGAUUACUGGAACUAUUUGAAGAUGAACAAGGUUGAUCUCGACGACUGCUUCCAAUCUGAUGCCGUUCCCUGCAUUUAGAAGUUUAACAUUCAAGUUUAAUUUGCAGCAAUGAAAUUGCUUGUUUAUUGUCGACAAGCAAUAUACUUAUAUAGUAUCUCAUGUGUCAUAUUCUAACCUGAACAUGGUGUGAAUUAGAUCUUCUCUUCUGGAACUGCUUUCCCCUGGACAUAUACUACUGAACUCAAAUGAACACUUCCUGAACUUCUGGUGCUUUGAUGCACUAUAAUUUGCAAUGCUUCCCCUAAUUUCCUCCCCAUUGCCUAAUGCGAUUAAAGAAACAGAUCCAUAAGAAUUAACUAAGCUGCAGGUACCUCUAGUGGAAUUAAUUAUUUUCAAGACAUUCUUAGGAAUUACAUACCUUCAUUUGUUGUACUUGAAAUUCUAUUUUGCAUUCCAAGAAUUUUCCCCCUCACGGCAGUUUCCAAAAGUUGAAUCAUCUUUCCUUUAUAGAGCGGUUUGGUAACCACUAUAUUCUGUCCUUCCCUGCUAAGCUCUGUCUUUAUAGGAGAUGUGGUUUGAUGGUUUACUACCCAUGCAAACAUCGCUUUCCGGUGGAAUAUGUCAAGGGAGUUUAGCUGUUCCCUCCAUAAGUCUGAACUUAAGUCUAGUAGUGCUAUAUCAAUCACUACAACAUAAACUGGGUCAAUCAAGGCUUUGAUGUUAGUCAUCUCAGCUUUCAAAGGUUCCCUUGAUGAAUAUGGAGCAUCAAAACCAUUACUAGAGACUGGACUGAUAGGAUCAAGGAGUUCCCGGAGAAUCUGAGUUAGCCCAUGCCACUCAGAUGUUUCCAAAGUGGACACUUUUUUCUUGCGUAACCAUUGGGAAAUGAUCAUUCUUUCCAUACUACCAACUGUUGCAAGCACCACCUACAUUGACAUGAUAAUGUGUGAGCUUUCACCCACGUGACGUGUUUUAUGUUCCAAAGGAUGUAAUUUUGCUCACCACAGUGUUUGGAAAAUCAGCAUCAUAUAUCUGCUUUGAUUCUGAAGACGCGCCCAGGAGCAGGUAUAGUUGCAUCAGAGUUCCUGGGCUGUUCUUCUUGACAACUUUGAUUUCUCCACCCAUCUUGUUCACCUGUCGUAACCGGAUGAUUCAAAGAUGAAAGUGAUUUCAAAACCAAGCCUAGCGGAUUAAAUAAACCUUUAAAAAAAAAAUUCUACUUUCAUAUUGGUGUACCCACCAGGGUUCGCACAAUGGAUAGCCCAAGGCCAGUCCCACCAUGCCUGGAAAAAUGCCAAACGCUUUAGACAAAAAUUCUGAAAGUCUCAGACUUUUAUUGUUCCAUGAAUUGCUUAAUAUUCAUAUGCUUUUGAUGAAUAAAUUUUAUUAAUCUAUGCGAUUAAGUGUCAAUUUAAAUUUGUAUUUGCAGAAUCCAUGACAGGAUAAACUACUUACUUUCGGGUCGUUGAGGGAUCUCCUUGCUCAAAGCUUUCAAAUACUGUUUCCCAUUUGCUCUGAUCAAUCCCUAUACAGCAUAAGAAACAGGCAUGUGGUAAUCAUUCAGAUGUGGCAUACUUCUUUACCAAUGCAUACAGGAAUUUUUAAUUUGGUUUCAGACAUUUGAAAUUCGUACCACAGCCUGUGUCAUCGACUUCAAAGCAAAGUGCUAAUUUGUUAUCCUCCCGAAAAUUCAUUGCGUUGUUCGCCUGUUGCUUCAAUUUUGUCCUAAAUGCACGCCCAAAUUUCUUGCGAUCAGUAGGAAACUCUGCGGCGUUUUUAAAAGUGUCCAAAUUCUCACACCAUCCACGGAUAAUAAUGUGCCCCGCUGCAAGACAUUUGAAACAAUUUUCUAUAAGAGCUAACUCUAAUCACGCGACCACUACCACAAAAUUUAUCAAAAAUGGGACUGUUAUAUCAGUCUGCACGAAGUAUCGCCACACUCGAACUAGCAAACUUGGCAGUGUGAUUGCUGCACUUACAUGAUGUGAACUUGAUAGAGUUGUUAAUAAGAUUUGAAAAUAUCUGAAAGACUCUACCAGGGUCCCCCCGAACAUUUCGUGGAAUGUUAUCUAAAAGGAAACAAAGAUUUGUAAUCAUAUGUCAGAAUAUGAUAUAGCCAGAAAUAUAUAUUAGUAGGAAAAAAAUGUAAGUUGUACCUGAAAGGUCUAAGACGGUCUCCACAUUAUGAUUACUGCACUGCACAGAGAACAUGUCGACCAGUUCUUCGAGCUCCUUUUGCAAGUCAAACUCUGUAUUUUCCAACUCCAUUUUUCCUGAUUCAACCUGUCCAGUGUUCAGAGAAAUUAGUAGGAAAAUGAUUACUGAUUUGGAACGUCAUGUUUUAAACAUAGCUGUAUUGACGUGUAACUGACCUUGCUGAGAUCCAAUAUGCGAUUAAGAAGUCGGAGUAAAGCAUAAGAACUUUUUUUAAUCUGGCAGACAGUGGAGUAUUGUUCAUUGGUUAAUUGAUCAUCGGAUUUAAGAAUUUCCAGUAGCCCGAUUAUAGCAGCCAUCGGUGUCCUCAAUUCAUGACUGCAACGCAACAAAAAGGCAAUUUACUUCUGACAGGCAGCACAGCAAGUGUAAAAACCAAUCAUUGUGGUUGAGUGAAGAUAGUUGCCGGCCUAAAUUUGAAUGAGUUCUCUUUUAAAUUAUUCACGGUUUCUGAUUUUUCUUUUGCAUAUGCCGUAAUGAAUCCUUUAAUAACCUAGUAUGUACUAUGUUAUAGUACUUUCGAUAUUGUGGGAAUACUGACCUCAUAUUUGCUAGAAAUUGGCUUUUGUAGUUGUUUGAGGCCUCUGCUUUUCGUCUUGCAUCAAGAUGGCUUAUCAGUUCUGCUCUUAGUUUCAUUUCCUUUGAUACUCCAUUUGUCAAAAUCAAAAUGCAAAUACAUCCGAUGACCAGGAUACAUACAGAUGCAGAUAUCAGUAUAAUCAAAGUUUUGUAGGCUCUCUCAUCUGCUUUUCCCAUUAUGUAUUCUCUUGGAAUGAUAAUGACACCAACCUGCAGACAGUGUGAAUCAAAUCAAUAUCUUCUGACGCUUGUAAUGGCAAUAAAUGCAAUAUUGGUAUAAGCAAUCACACAAGAAAUUCAGGCACACAACAGAAUUAUGUAACAAAAAGAUUGCGUCUUCUACAUUGUCGAAACUUACAAUAGGUAGUCUCUUUAGAUUUAGAAAAAAUGUGUCCAUGUAAUAUUGCUUGUGGCCAAGCUUGGCAUUCUGUACAUGAAUCACAUGACCUGGGGGAACCUUGCUUCCGUAUUCACUCUGUAGCCAUUGAGCUCCCAUUUGUAUUACAGGAUUAUCAGAGUCAACAGCCUUCACAAGAUUUGGUCCCGUUGAUGAAUUUGUUAAAAGAGGAGCAUUUGUGGAAGUCGCUAGCAAGUAACCCUCUUGAGAGGUCAAAUAUAUGUGGCCACUAUGUACUUCAACAAGUUCUUUCAUCAGCUGGCCUACACUAGAAAGCGCGGUAGUGACACCCACAACAGCCACAAUACUUUUAUUGGAAGUGGUUGGGUCCCAAACUGGCAAUGCUGCUGAAAGCAAUGGCGAAUUAGUAAACUUGCUUACUGCUACAUGCCAUGAAGCCACUCCAUCAGGUACUUGAGAGAUUCCUGCAAUAUUAAUUAGAUCGUCCGGUGGGAUGGGGCUUGCCUUUCCUAUCUUCUCACCAGUGAUGGGAUCAAGUGGUUCCCGGUACCAAAUGGCGGAUAUAUUACCCUUUAUGGAUUGAUCAUUCCACCCUUCUCGCGAAGAGAUCAAAUUGGAAUCAUAUGGGCCGCUGGUACCAAUUGAAUAGUUAGAAAGAUCUGAGUAAAUGUAGAAUGUGUUGUUACUCCUGUGAUCUCUAUGGAAUGCCUGGACAAAACCAUUUUUGUAGUUUAUAGUUAUGGCAUUCAGGGCUUUGCGACUCGCAAACAUUGCCCAGGUUACAUCCCUCAUCACUUCAUACAGCUAACAAGAAUUGACACAGAAAUUCUGAAGUUAAUAGUUAAUUUUGCCAGGUGUCAACAACAUUCGCAAUAAUCACAUUGCAAGAACUAAAUCAAAAACUUAAUUCUUUACCUGGAUUUGUUCUGCUUGAGUAGCAGGCUUGUUGUACCGCUUAAUUACAUAUUCUGAAAGCUUAACCUGGGCAGCCGUUAUCUCAGCAGUGGAAUUCACAAUGUUCCACAUGCGCAAUAAAGGACGUUGUAGAAGUUCAUAACGAAGGCCAUAUGCCAAAGUAUCCAGUGAUUUUGUUGUGUAGACCCUUGUAAAAUGCCAUGUCAGUACGGUUAGCAGUCCAAUCAGAAUGGCCAGCAUGAUCUGCACUAAGCCAUUUUCAGAAGUAACCAGUAAAUCAAACCAAAACAGAGCAAUAGACCAAUACUUUCUCUCUACCAACGUAUACACCAUUAAAAUGACAAAAAUAGAAAUUCUCCUUCCGUUGAAAUGUGAAAAAUCAUAUAACUGAGUUUUUGCAAAGGGAAAACAAUUAAAUUCCAUUAUUUUUUUAUGCUGUUUCAGAGUACAUUGAUCUCUUCCUUUGGAAAGUCUGUUAUGUAGUUUUUCUAUCACAACUUACAAUGAGAGCUAAUGACCGAACAGAAUUCGUACGGAGCUCUCAAAACUUUCAGUAUACUGUUCCAGAAAUGAAUAUGACAAAAAUUGAAAACGAGAGCUCUUUUUUUUCAGCUGCAAGUGGACUAUAAUUCAUACUAAAGCCACGGUUACAAUGGCUAGCCUGUUAUCUAAUCCAUUGCAGUUUGAGAAUGUUAAAGAAUACAGAAACCAAAGUUUCAUCCAUUACGCUACCGAAAUUUUUCAUGUUCAAGCUAGUGAAAACUUCAACACAAUUGAAAGUUUCUAGCAACACCCCAAAGAGAGACAAUGAACGAAGCGGAAACCAUAUCCUCUUAAGUCAUUUUCCAUAGCUAAAAUGAUUUGUCUGUCAAAUUGAAGUUUGAGCAUGCUGCAGAAUAUACGAACUUAAUUUUUAUUUUUUUUAAUCCAUCUCUGCAAUUAAGGUCCUAAAAUUUGCAUCUUCAAACUUUUGGCAAUUUCUAGCACACUCCAAAGAGAAAAUGACAGGCAGAAAAUAUACUAUUAUAUUUCAAUUACCAUGGCUGAUCUGGUUCGCGUGUCAUUGAAGUUUGAGAAUAGUUCAUGAAAAUCAAAAUUUUAUCCAUCUCUAUAACUAAAGUUUGUUCAUGUUAAGGAAAAUACCUUUACGAUUGACUUAUUCAAACAACACUUCAAAGAGACCGUGACUAUUGACUGAGCAGAUCAUUAUAACUGGUUUGCCUGGGCUAACCUGAUCUAAAUGAUCUGUAUGUCAAUUUCAGUUUGAAAAACAAAGAAGAAAUACCAAAAUUUUGUCCACGUCUACUGCUACAGUUCUAGACUUUGCAUGUUCAAGCUAAUGAAAAUUAUCUAGACACAAUAGUACGACUUUCGAACACUUUAAAGCAGAUACAUGCCAUUGAAUGGUUGAUCAUGUUACAGAAUAUCAAAACCAAAACAUUUGCUUCAAUUUUGCAAGUUGAGGCAAAUGUGAAGCAUCCAUACAAAUGAAAGAUUGUAACACGAUCAUCAAAAAUCCAAAAACAAAAUUUAGACUAACCAUGAUAGCAAGGCGAGCAACAAAAACACUAUAAUAAGAUGAGAGACAACGAGCGGCUGCAUGUUGGAACUCAUCACCUUGUUGUUGAUCAGCAGCAUCCUUUCGAAUCAUCCUUCUGCCACGUGGAGCUCUUCUGCUUCUCCAAGAACCAGCAAUACCAGAGGAGAUACAGAGACUUUCAAACACCCUUUUCAGAGUCAGAGGGGUAGCCAUUGGCCUGAAGUGUUUCGAGGCUUUUUCUUUCUUAUUCAAGAGAGUCAAAGAAAAGAAAGGAUCUCUAUGUUUUAUCUGGUGUUCAAACUGUCAGUGGUAGAAAGUCUUUCUUCUGGGAAAAACUUCAAAGAAAAAAGAAUUAAGUGAAUUUUUGUGAAAGUGUAAGAAAGAUUGUAUUUUGUUUUUGUUUUUAUAUGUGGAUUCGAGUGUGCGACUGAAUUAUUUGUGCAAGUGCAAGUGUGUGCGUGUGUCUGCUGCUUGUGUUGUUGGUGGGUUACUUAAAUAAACUUUCUUGGCUUCAUGCGCAGUGUCAUUUCCCACCAUUUCUUUUUGUCUUUUUUUUUUUCCCCCCAAUCGCAACACCACAUUCCAUGCAAUUUUUUCAUUAGUGGUGGGUGCUUUUAUUCCUCAUCCGCAAAUGUUUUGCCACUUGUGCUUCCUUUUUUUUUUUUCCUCCCUAUUCCUUUUGCCAACUUCAGUUUCGACCUUCUUUCUGAUAUAUGUGGUUUUAGCAAUUUAUCCUAUUUUUAAAUGUACUUUCAUUCAAAAACUUGGGUAUUAUUUAUAAAUUGCAUAUCUUAAUAAAGUUCAGAUCAUUUUUUCUUUCUCCCUUUUCUUUCUUCCUUGCCAAUAAUUAGGGUUCUCAUUGGAAGUCUUUGUUGAUUCGAUGAAAAGGGUAUAAUUAUUUGAAGAAGAUAAGUAGAUAUGACAAAUUGACCCUAUAUGAAUUAAAAAAGGCAGCUAACUAAAAUGUCUUAACUUGAGGAGAAUAUGUAGAAUCCUAAUAAUAGUACAAGUAUUGGCAAUUUAGUAGCAGUAACUAGUUACUAGAAAAAGGUCGAUAUGAGUUGCUAAUGUAUAGCAAAGACUACAAUUAAUUUUACACAAUCUCCAGAAUACAUGUAACAGUAAAAAUAAGUAACAAACAAAUGGGGCAAGUGAGGCCGGCGCCAUAAUUUGUCUUCGUUUUUGCUGGUUGCAGGGGAGAUCCUUAAUUUUAUUGAAAUGACUAGUGUUGUAAAGGUUUACUGUAUGGGGCCAGAAAUCAAUUUUCCCAGAGUAAAUAGCAGAUGUGACACAGACAGAACCCUCGUACUGGAAAAGAAGGUGUCUUGUAAUUGGUCAAGAUUUUGGGAAAUUUCAAGGACCAUAUACACCUGAAGAUAAAUCGGAGUGGGAACCAAUUUUUUUAUUAGACUGAGGGCAUCGGUGGGAAAGUGAAACUUUCAGUUGGGUCCCUAGAGUUCUGUUUCUUCUGUUGAUGGCGAGCAAAAUUGUACGUAGGCCUCAGUUUGGCCCAGGCCUUGGAGAAUUUCUGGAAGGGCUCCCUCUACACAAACCCAAUAAUAACAAGAGUGGCACAACUAGCAGCCUGUAAUACUCCCACAAAACUUUUUUUUAUUAUUAUCUAUUUUUACGUUUUACCUUUAGUUAAGGUAUAUUUUCUCUAUUACUUAAAAAUUGUUCACACCCCAUUUGAGAUAAGGGAACCUUCUCUAUAAUUGUGAAACUUGUAUCUGAAAAGCAUUGACGAAAAGCUACCUCAUUCUUAAUUUUGCAUGUCCUUCUUAUAGCCAUAUUUAUUUUCAAAAUUCCCAUUUAACAGAGCGGAGACCAUUAAACUUGUGUAUUUAUAGUUUGUUUUUGAAUUUUAAGAAACUAAAUAAAGAAAUCAUAUUAGGUUUUGUUUUUAAAGGAAACAAGUAACAAAAUAGUUGAUAGUAGAUAAAACCAAAUACAUCAAGAGAUGAAAAUUUAUAAAUGGUGUACAGAGAGAUUUUAGAGAUAGAGAAAAAACAAAGGGGAUAUAGUGAUAAAGAUAAACAGACAAACUAUUUUAUUGAAAAAUUGAUGUGCAUCUUUGACCCUUAGAAUUUUUUUUUUCUUUUUUUAAAGGAUUUCAGAGGGAUGCUAAUAGCACCACUCUAGAACAAUAAGAAUGUAGUGAGACUUGGCAGCUAGAGAGAGAUAAUCAAAGUAAAGAGGAAUAAAUCAAAAGAAAACUCAAAUAGAUACUUAUUGCAUGAAUUCUUUAUAUUUGAUGAUAUGGUAUAGAUGGAGCUAUUUACGAUCAAAAAAUUACUUUAAACAUUCUAAUUUUAAUAAAAUUAUUUAUUUUAAACAUACUCAUGAUGUAAAUUACUCUUAAAGAUAAUUUUUUAUGAGUCAAAAUAACAUAAUUACUUUAAACACUCAUCUUGCACACUCAUCAACUUAUAAUUAUCUUUCCAUAAAUGCCAGCUCUUAUUCAGUAUCUUAAACAAUAUUAAAUUGAACAAUGAGCAAAUCAACAUUUUAGAAGAUUUUGAUUACAAGAAGGUAUGUGUGACCCUUUUGACUCUUCAAAAUAAUAAUAGUUAUAUUAACUCUAGAUGAAUUUUCUUGGCAAUUGUUAAAGACAUUUUGAUGGCCGCACAUUGAGAGGCUAGAUGAGUAAAGAAUCACACUCAAACAGCUCAUCUAUAUAUCACCGGCUUCUGGUAUGUGACAAGCAAAUAAUCCGAGUUUUGUCUUAUAAAAAGUUCGAACAAAUUAAGCUCUAAUGCCCUAAUUAAUCCAUACAUAAUUAGCAUUUAUUUUAUUACUCUUCGUGUUGGAAAAAAAAAAACUUAAAAAUCUAAACCUCUAUGCAUAUUUGAUUAUCUUCUUCAGCAAUAAUGCGCCGAAGAAUUUUAUGAAUGUGGAGAGUAAGUAAAGAUUAAGAAAACGAAGAAGAGGAGGAGAAGAAAGUUAUUUAGGUGCUUUAAAUAAUUCAUGACCACAGCUAUAGAGUAUUUACAAGAAUAUGUAGAGUAAAAGUUAAUAUUUUAAAAUUAUUAAAGGAGCGUACAGAGAAAUAAAGUGUUAGAAUACAACUUAGAGUACUUACAUUAAAAAUAUAUAUAUAACUUAGACUACAAAUAACUAGCUCCAUCCUAUAAUAAAUUACUUGUUCCGGUAAUGUGAUUUAAAAAUUUCAUGACCAAUAAAGAAAGUUUUGGAUACUAAGUGUUGUUCAAUUAUUCAAUAAAUUUCAUUUUUAUAUAUAAAAAGGGACACAUACCUUGAUUGGAUUUAAAUGGAUGAACGUAGACGUGUAAGACGAUUUUUUUUUCUCGGUAUAAUUGACAAUUUGUUCUAAUAUUUAUUAAUUUGAUAAAGAUUCCAAAUAAUAGGAUUAGCAACAGUUAAAAGGGAGGAAAAAAAAAAAAGAGGGUCGAUUUCAGAUUUGCAGUAACUAUUAUUAGGAAGAGUAAAAAAUUUUCAUCUACCGGGUGAAAAUAUGGUUGUAAUUCGAAAAAUAGGUUUUUCAAUUGGGUUUUCGAUAAUUUCGUUUAAUCGGUGCCAUUGACUUCUUUGGUACUCAGUGGAGAAGAAAAGAAUAAACAAAUGCCGUUAAUUUUGAAAUUCUAUGACGUAUAAUAAUUGGAAUUAUUGGUGUUGCUCUGAGCAAUAACAACAUACAAUUUCCCUUUGGAAUGAAGUUAAGAGUAACAACCGAAAGUGAUAGAAGAAAGAAUGUAUAUAUAUAUAUAUAUAUAUAUAUAUAUAUAAAUUGUGAAGAAGAAAAAGUUGGAAAAACGAAUUAAUAUUCUUCUUACUAACAUGAUCUUUUAUCAUGGCAUUGACUUGUUUGAUACUAAGAUUUUGUAACCAUGAAAAUCUCGAAAAACUAAUUGAAUUCGCCAAAAAUAUUAAAUUUGAACUACUCAUAUACGUACUGUGAAACCAAUUAAUCAUUGGAAGAAUAUACAAACUUGAAUUUUUUUAUACAAUGAAUUUAGCAUCAACUUAUGCACAUUAUAUAUUUUUCUAUUCACAACAGCUUUAUGACCAAUAAAAUAUAGGAUUACAUCUUAAUCUUAUAGCGUGCAGAUGUACAUGACUCAAAAAUCAAGAUUUAUUUAAUUUUUUAUUAGACCAAAUCUUGACAUUAAGAUACUCAUUCAUCAACUGAAAUCACCGCUUGCUUAAACAAGACUAACAAAUAAAGAUUUCUUAAAAUCAAAUAGAAACAUCUAAAGAAAAAGAAAUCUAAGCAAGUUGGUUCACAAAAAAAUUUCAGGGGAAGUGAAAUGGUUGACAGCAAAAGAUUAUAAUGAUUUUGUGAUGGCGGUAUAGAGAAAUAUAGAAUUUAUGAAAGUAACAAAGAGUGGGGCGUGAUGCAUGAUGUUGUGGAUUGACAUUGAUAACCGCAUGCUUGCUUCGGCAUCCUCUAGAAUUCUUCUUUUGUGAAUCCACCUCAGUAAUCCAUUUAUAUGUGAUGUUUAUGGAUAGGCCACAGCUCUACGUACGGUGUCUUUUACCACCCACUAGCUUUGAGAUAUAUGAAUGAAAAUGCUUAGGUUUUUGUUUAACUUUGAAACAGCAUGAAUCAUAAUCAUCACUAGUGCUUGUACAAAUGUCCUCAUCCGUUAUGCUUAUUGCCUACCUCAAAAGAUGACACUAAAAGAAACAAUGUCAUCUAUAUCAAUAUGUGUUUUGAUUAAUUCCAUAAAGAGAUGUAUAUGGAUAGGCCACAUCUCUACGUACGGUGUCUUUUACCACCCACUAGCUUUGAGAUAUAUGAAUGAAAAUGGUUAGGUUUUUGUUUAACUUUGAAGCAGCAUGAAUCAUAAUCAUCACUAGUGCUUAUACAAAUCUCCUCGUCCAUCAUGCUUAUUGCCUACCUCAAAAGAUGACACUAAAAGAAACAAUAUCACCUAUAUCAAUAUGUGUUUUGAUUAAUUCCAUAAAAAAAAAAGAAGCUAAUGGGAAUUCACUUUUUCUAGGUUGAGAGAGUAAUUAACUUACAUGCUCUUUUUAUUUACUUAUACUUUAUGUUUUUGCAUGAACUGUAUCUUAUACUUUCUAACUUAAUUUUCAUAUUUCUAGGUAAUGAAAAAUAGACAACCUUAAGAAUCAUCUAGUUUGGUAUGCAUUGGGUUAGAGUAGAUGGAAAAUUGACAGUUAUAAGUUAGAUAAUUUCAUAACUGAAAGAAAAGCAUGCAUGGUCAGCAUAGACAUUUGGUCAAGUUCUAACUUUCAGGUUUUGAGUAAAAUAUCGUCUAGAAAUAUGCCUAUCUGCUUAUUGUUGAACAUGUGCAUGCAUGUGGCAAAUAAUUCUUUGUGGCAAACAAUUGCAUGUGGGUAGCAUGCAAUUUUUUUACUUUUAGCAUAAAGUUGUUGAGUAAGUAAGAAACAAAGAUAAGUGGGAGGAAUCAACUUUUGACUUUGGCACUAAAGUGGAAAAGUUGGGUGAAAAUUUAUAUUAUUUUAAUACCCAUCAUUGUUGUUUUUUAGGCAUGACUUGGCCUAUGAAUAGAGGUCUCAUUUGUCCUUAUCACUCAUCCCAUUUUAUCUAAUUCAAGUGAGAGUGCCAAGAGGUGUAAGUUGAGAGUAUUGAGAGCUUUGAGCUUUAGUUAUAGUGUUUUGAGAGUUUGGGUGUAUUGAGGUUUUGGGUUGAUUGAGGUUUUGGGUUGUGAGAUAAAAUAUUACAAUACUUGUAAUUUCUUUUUACUAGUAAAUAUAUUUUCUUCUAUCUUCACUCAUGGAUGUAGACUAAAAGCUGAACCACGUAAAUUCUUGUAUCCAUCAUUGUUUCUCAAUUUCACUUUAGUUGCGUGUCUGCUGCACUCCCGAAUUUCCAACACAUAUUUUAUUCUUUUAAUCUUUUCAUCUCAAAUGCUAUAUAUAUAUAUAUAUAGAGAGAGAGAGAGAGAGAGAGAGAGAGAGAGAGAGAGAGAGACUUAUGUGGUUGAAGCAGCGGAAGUUAAUAUUCAAAAUAUUCCAUUGAUUUUAUAGAAUACCAGAAUAAAAUAACAAACUAAAUUCACGUUGAUUUAAAAGAAUACCGCGAAUUUAGAGGUUAAAACUCGAAUUAACUAAAAUCAAACACUCACACAGAAAUUUGAAAUUUGAAAAAUAUUAUUAAACUCGAAUAUACUUUCAAAUGCUACAAGAGAGGGAUAUUUGUACUGGUAGUAAAUAUUCUAAACCCUGAAGAAAAAGAAAAAUAAAGUUUUAAUCUAGGAAGAAAAAUAAAAGUUCUAAACCUUAGUUAAUAAGGAAACAUAUCCUAAUAUAAUAUGGAUUCUUAAUCUGCAUCAGUGAUAUAGUGGUCAGUCGAUAAUAAAAUUUGAAUUUAACAUAUUUAGGUUCUAUAUAAUUACUAAUUGAGACUUUAAUUACGUCGUGCAAUCAUCCGUGUAUGAAAUCAAUAACUAUGCAAAUAUGAUUCCAAAUGCAUGCUUUCCAUAAUUAUUCAAACACUCAAAGUCAAGAUCGCCACUAAAUCAAUAAUGGAGGAAAAUUUUUGGAAUGGUAGUUGAUGCUUAUUAGGACAGUCUUGACUUUGAAGGGAUAAAAAGAAUCUCUUAAAAUCUAGCUAGAGCAAACAAACUCUUAAAAAUAAAUCCUCAUCAGGAUCAAUCCUCAACAAAGAAUCAGGUCGUAGAUGCUGCGAAAAUUGGUAGUUCAUGAACUCGAUAAUUAAACUCAAGUUUCAAGCAUAUGAUUCUUUGACUUAAUCCUGGAGAAAAGCUUCUCAUUCUCAUCUACUGGAAGCCACUGGUGCAAAUUUAAAGUAAAACCCAUUAAAGGAACACAUCACGUUCACAACCAUUUUCUCUUGGUGCUCUCUAUGGAACAAUUUUUAAUGCUGAGAAAGAUAAAAAUUGACGUAACCCAAUGCAUAUGAACAAUGAAAUAAUAAAGUUUUAAUAUUGAUGGCGAUUGGGAAUGUCAAAUGGGCCCACUAUUUGCCGAAUUGCCAUUAGAUUGUCAAGAUCGAGGAUCAUGUCCUUUGAUCUUUGAUUGGGGCCCAUUUGUAGUUUCACGUUUCUUGACACACAAAACUCUAAAAUAGUGACAGCCGAAGGAAAAAGCCUUGACCUUGAAAAAAAGAAAAGAAAAAGUUGCUGGUGAUUUUACCGUUCAAACGAAUAAAGUAAAAGUUGGGAUUCCGAGUUAAAAAUAAUGGUGGUGUCGUUUGUUGCGCCCCCCACGUCUCAAGUGAAAAUAAGACGUCCUGUGUACUAUUUUCCUCGAAAAAGAAGUCGGGAAAAUUUUUUCAGAACCAUCAAUGGGAAAAUCCCGAGAGGCCGUUGAUAAAAUAAAUCCAAUUUUUGCAUAGGCAAGAUAUUGAGGACAGAUUUGACGGACCAUUUUUGGACCUGUCUAUGGUACAGAUUCUGUAACAAACAUCUCCCGUCAUCCCACCAUCCGAUUUUCUAUUGUUUAGUUUCUCACUCCACGUCCAACCACAUCCAACGGCUGAUGCUGCAGUCUGUAGCUUACAGAAUCUGUAAGCUAGUCAAGUCCACCAUUUUUUGCUUUGUUUUUCAUCUGAUUGGUCGUUUUCAAGGCAUGGUGAUGCAAACUGCAUGCAUGCUACUGCUAGGUCUAUUUUUAAUGAAGGAAUCUCUAUGAAUAAAGGAAGUUAAAGCAAUAUGACAACAGAUCUAUUUUGGUGAAAAAAAAAGAAAGUGAUAAAGAAGUUACCUUCUAAUUUUUCAAAGUUCACUUUCGCACGCAAAAGUAUAAAAUUUGUAUUUUUUUUUCACUUCCUGGUAAUUAUAAGACGGAAUAUGAUCAUCUCCUUAUCUGAGCAUUAUUAAAUUUUUUAGAAUCUUUUAUUAUAUGUCUUUUAGUGAUAAUAUAUGAGUAAGAUUUAAUUUCUUUUAUUUUUUAUUUAUUAACAACUAAUUAAUAAUUGAAUUAUUUUUUUAAAACAUAAUCAGAUUAGGAGAGAAUCAUGAUCCUUAUAAGACAACUGAAAAUGAACUGUAAAUUUAUUUCGCUAUUCAAUUCUCGAUAACAAUUAAUUCAAACUACAUUUUGAGAAAAGAUACCAGCUAUAUAUAAAUAUAUAUGAGAGAGAGAGAAAAAAAUGUAAGAGACACAAUCACAUGUACAAGAAAUUGAAGUUUACGAGGUUAUCAUCAUAUCAUAUGCAUUUGUCUCAUCCAUUGUUGAGGAAGAAACAUGUGAUAUCUGUUGAUGUUUAAUGUUACGCAGUCAAAUCAUAAAUCGUUUAUUUCAUGUCCAAAAAUUGAGAUACAAUAUCUUCGCAUUUGAUAAUACGAACCACUACUGAACGAUUGACACUUAUCACUUUGCUUUGGAUGCUAGACAAACAACGUCACUUCCGAUAAUGAUAAAUGAAAGAAUUAGAACAACACUUCGUUGGAGACAACAACCUAAUAAAUGAAAGAAAAAUUAUAUAAAAAGACGUUUAAAUAAUAAAUACAGCCUGGAUAUGUCUAGAUACAAGUUUAGCCCAAACUGAUCCAGUGGAUCAAGGCAAAAAUGAAAAAUUUGUCAGUUAGUACUCUGAGUCUACAGAAGCUAAUUCAACUCCAGGAAAUUAGCAACAAUGAUGCACUGCCAGGAACAACAACAGAAACGAACAUUAACACUUACACGAGCAAUCUCAGUUCUCAAACAUCAUUUGCACCUACAAAUUAGCAAAAUAUCUAUACUAAACAAUGAGAGCACUUGAUGUUUCUUGAAUGUUGAAACAUAAAUGGUAAAAAGAUUGGGGUCCGGAAGGGGUUCAGUAGAGGAGAUAUAUGGGACAUGACACUUGCCAUUCCUGAUUCUUGGAUCCAACUUUUUUCAAACAGUACUGCCCACGAGUUAUUAAUUACUUGGAACUCUUUUUACCCUUGACCUCAGAAGCAGCUUUGGCAGCAGAUUUAGCAAGGGUGGUCGGUUUUAGUACACUUUUGGGGUUAAGUGCUUUUCGAAUUUUAAAUGCAGCCCAUGCUGUGCCUAUGGCAUGGCCAGCUGCAUCAAGCCCUUCGCUGGUUGCUUCAGCUGCCUUUUCGCCGUACCUGGAGUUGUUCAGCAUUGCAGAAAGUCAACAAUCUUGAAUAGUCACAGCACACGAAUUCAUGCUCACUCAUUAAACCAACUAUUUUCAUCAUCUCAUCUUUACUGUCCACUCCCAAAUGAACAGCUUAUAAAAGAGAUGCUUAAUUGAUUUUAUGUACAGGGUGUGGACUGUGGACUAUGGACACGGAUAUCAAAUUAUAAAAAGUAAUCACUUUAAAUUCAGUAGUACACAGGGUUAAAUUGGCUGCCAGCAAUUUUUCUUUUUUCUGGGAACUUUUGUUCACCUUUCUAUUCUUGGCUGAGUAACUUGAUUAAUUUCUUGCCAUUACUGUAAAAGGUUCGUGCAAUUGGAUUUAAACUUACUUGUGAGAGACCAGUUGAGUCGUGACAGUGGAUGAUGUUGACAUUACAUUCUUUCCUGCUACUUCAACCGCGUCACACACCUUGUCUGUUUUCAGGAAAAUAAAUCAGUGAUUAACAUAAUGAAACUGUUAAAGGCUGAAAAAUUUUGAGUAACGAGGAAAAGGAUCAGUGAGUCAGAAAUGCAAGCAAUGAUAAUGGUUCUUCAAAAGUUCAACGUAGUACAAUGUUCUUGGGUAAUAUCAAAAUCAGUAAAUCACCAAGAAUCCAGCCAUGGUUAAAAGAAAUUUAGAGGGAAUCAUGCUGACGCUAAAAGUGAAUCACUGAUUCAUCAAUGGCUGACACCAAAUGCAAAAGAAAAACAAAAAAUCUAUUCCAGGAAAAAGAUCUGUCACAUCAGUAUAUAAAGUUUGUAAUCUUCAUGAUACAUGUCAACAAAUUGAUUGACCUGUGUCCCUUUCUAAUCAUCCCAACAACAUUUAGAAUUAGUGUUAACCGAUGAUAAGAAAAUCUUACUGAAUAUAAAAGGAGCACUCAACCAUUUGUUAUAUAAUUAAAUGAGAACAUAAAAUAACAAUAUAAUUUGCUUCAUUAGAGUGAGACUACGAUAUUGCACCAUUAUAUUUCCCCAUCCUGGGAAAAAGUUCUAGCUAAUGCCUGCACCACCACGUCUCAUGCUACUAUAUGAUUGCAUGACACCACAUAUAUAUUUCUCAUUAAAUACAAAACCAUCAUAAAUGCAUCACAAACGAUUUGUGUAUGUGAGGUAGCAUGUAAUUGGAGGGUGUUCUGAUAACAUACAGGUAAAAUGCUUGCCACACUCCAAUUCAAGUAGCCAGACAUUAUUUGAAAACAUUGCACAAGCUGCAUUGGUUUAUGGCAUUAACUACUAAGAUUAACAAAAUACUUCAAUAUUCAAUUACUGAAGUUUCUCCAGUCACAAGCUAAAACAGCCAGUUCUCAAUCUUCAUAAUAGGCUGACCUAGAAAUUCAGAAACAAUUGCUAAAAGCAUAUAAAUACAAAUGAAGGACGACAUUAUGCAUGCCAUCACACAAUAUAACAUGCGUGAUAGCACACAUGUCACCAUUUUAUUGGGGGCAGAUGGGCCCACAUAACAGCCCCGCCAAUGCAAAGUCAAGACGAGUCAUGUCUGUCAUCGUACUAUAACAUGUGCGACAGUGCGCAUUUGAUCAAAAUCCAGUACAAACACUUAUAUAUCAAUUGAUAAAUUUAUUCACUCAACAGUAGUAUGUACUAACCUAAAUGCCAAAGCUAUCAAAGUCUUUUCACAAUGUAUGCUAUCAAACUCUCACCAGGGUGUUAGUCUCUUAUUUGAUUGUAAGCUCAAUUCUUCACAGAAGUUAUAGCAGAUUACAGAGUAUCUGAAGUGGGAAGUUGAACUUAUUAAUUGAUAUUUAAUUCCAUUUCCCUACAGAAAAUUACAAGAGAAAAGAAGAGUAACAUGAACAAGUUCCAAUUUAAAAUGCUUCAAAGAAGCUUUUACUUGUGGCGAAUUCAACGCAUCAUGUAUUAUGGGAUUCCAUUAGAAUACUAAACAUAUUGCAAUGAAAAAAAAUCAAUUGGCUCAUAUGUUUCAUAUUGUAAGAACCAUUAUCAUUGCUUGCAGUUCUGACUCACUGAUCCUUUUCCUCGUUACUCCAAAUUGUUCAGCCUUUAACAGUUCAUUAUGUUAAUCACUGAUUUAUUUUCCUGAAAACAGACAAGGUGUGUGACGCAGUUGAAGUAGCAGGAAAGAAUGUAAUGUCAAUAUCAUCCACUGUCACUCUUGGACCCUCAUAUCUACCCCUGAUUUUCAGAUUAAUAGUAGGAAACGACUAGCAGUUAAAGGCCAUGAUCAGCAUCAUAGUUUCCAAAACAACCUAAGGAAGGCAUGUCAUUCAUAUCUUCGUGAUUCUUUGUAAUUAAACCUAAAACAAUGCUAACCUUCCUGCAUGAUAGCCCAAAUCCACCUGAGAUCUAAACUAUCUCUCUCUGUUCAUCUUCAUAUUUAUAAAAAAAAAUUUACAAUAGAACUCUUGAUCACAAUAAUAUCUAUCUAGCCAGUUAUUGUCGUCGUUGGCCAUUUUUCUUGUCAUGCUCAUACAUGCAGAGCUUUGAAUUCACGUCUGUAACUUCUUCUAUUUUGUCCAUUAAUAUACAAGUACUAAGUUCCCUUUCAGGGGAAGUAGGGGGGAAAAAAAAGAUGACGAUGAGGCCCAAGUGAGUAUGAAGUGAAAUUGCUAAUAUAUAUGCCUUAAUCACUAAAGCUAAAAGGGUGCGGUUUGGAACUAUUGUUCUUAUGAUCAAGAGUUCUAUUGUAUAAAAAUUUUUAUAGAGAUUUUUAUUAAAAAAAAAAAAAAAAAUCCCCCAACAACAAAGACUACCUCAAGAAGCAGUUUUAAAAUCUUUUGACACCAGGCCCAUAGUCAUAGAGAUUUAACAAAUGGGUUUGUCCCACAAGUAAUGGGCUUCCUCUUCUAAAAAAGAAAAGUUCAAAAUGAAACCCUUAUAUCUAAGGUAAAAGCCCAUAAAAAAUGUUGAAGGACCAUCCACAAAAGCGGAAGAUCUCAAAGCCUGAUCUAUUUGAUGCAUCAAAGUGUACCGACUCAAGAGACUUGUGAAAAUUAAGUUAAUCACCUGAAAUAAAAAAUAAAAAAUUCAGUUUCGUACAUGUUAUUCUGUAGGACAAUUAGGACUGUCAAACUAAUCUGAUGCCCUUGUCAAAUCAAUUAACCUAUACAAACUUUCAGUGAAGAUUAUGACCUUAUUUAUCAAACUUCAUAGAUACAACCCUGAACAUGGUUAGAGGCAAGACUGAGGUGUGACAAAAUGGCGGCAAAGGAUUAAAUACAUGCGUGCAAUAUGAGUUUAUGAACCCACUGCUGAAAUACAAAGGGGUACACAGCUCCACAUUUCAUGCACAUGUUGAACUAUUGAAACAUUAUGGAAAUUGGAAGUUCUGCAAUACAUGCAACUUAAUGAACAUACAAAACCAAGUCUCAAGAUUAUAAACAUACUGAAUCCAUCCAGAGAUGCAAGGACGAUUUCUCCAGGGAGGAGGUUGAAAAACUUCUUGCCGGCUUUCGUGUUGGCAACUGAACUCGUGAAAAACCCAGAGACUUUUACAACUCCAGAGAGAACCCCAGUUGCUACUUUCUCUGUCAUUUUUGUCACUCUCUUAGCCCUGCAUAAAAUCACCAAACCAAUAUACUAUAACAUGUAAUACAGAAUUAAACAACCAUCAAUAAAAAGCAAAGACAGGAUGAAGAUCCCACUGUAGGAUAGCACCACAUUCUUAAUUGCUUCUCUACAGUAAUAUACAAUAACAUUGCAUUCAAGCGUACCAUCCACUUUUAGGAUCUUCACAAAACAUCCAAACAUUCCCUCAUUUCCAUCAAUAACCAAAAAAAAAAAAAAAAUUACUAAAAUCUAAAAAGACAAUAACAAACACUACGACAACUCGAAACCUUCCAAAUACCAACCGAAGCUGGGUUCUAACUAUAUUAAAAUUCAACAAAUAACACUGACGCUGGCAUUUCUUUUUACCUUUUAAUCCUCUUCAAUGUCUGGGGACUAACCUCUGAGGUUUCCCCAGGAAUCAUCCUCUUCUUCAAAACCUUAUUUCCCCACUUCAACCUAUCCACCGUCACUUCCCCACACCACAAAAUUCCCCUGAUCAGCUGCCCUGACCCAGCAGCAAUCAAUUUCGCUGCAGUCCCACUAUAAUCCUCCACAUUAGGCGCCAACGUAGUCCAAUAAGCUGCACUCUUUUCCUCCAUCACUUCCCUUUUCUUCCCCGUCAUCUCCAGCGGCGUCACUUCUUUCGCUAUUUCCCCAUCGAUCUCCUUCACCUUCUCCGAAACUUUCUGCACCGAGAAACAACUAUAUUGUUGUAAUAUCCCAUCUAAUUCCUGCAAUAAUUUCUCCUGUCCUUUGGAUGCGAUGGUAAGCCCGUAAUUUAACAAAUCAGAAUCAGAAUUUGAUCCAGGCUGAGGCGGGAAACUGAGAGAGAAGAAAUAAUGAGAAUCAUCAAGCUUAACGGCGGCUAUGUCUUUAGUUAACGGCCACUGGAUCUCGUCACCAACGGAAGCGAGAACUGCAACUACAUUUCCGUCUUGAAUUAGGCGAAUGAUUUUGAAAUCGCUGCACGCGAGCUCCACGCUGUAGGAUUUAUCAAUGAGGUGAAGGAUUGCACCGGGGACUUUAAUUAGAGUUUCCUCGUCAGCUUGCGGUGGCGCCGAGGGUUCGGUGUUACCAGUUGCUGCGGUUUCCGGGAACAAGUUUUCUGUUAAAUCACGCAUGUCAAGCGACGGGUAGAGAUUGGACGGGGGUGACUGUGAUGAUGAUGGUGGUGAUUGGGAUUUAUAAUUUAUCGGAGCUUCGGGGUUCGAAUCAAUUACUUGAGGGUAGAGGGAGGUGUGAUUAGGGUUAGGGAUUGGUUGUUGAUACGACAUCGUUUCGCUUUCUGAAUUUGGACUGGCUAUGAUGUGAAUGAGAGAGCAAACAGGUUUCCGUUGAUGGUUGUUGACGAAGGCGACAAUGAUGGAGUGAGGGACGCGUGGCGGGAUCCGGAGAGGUCGCGUUUUCGAAAGACGUGACGUUUCGAACUGUCUUGGGAAAUUCCCGCGCUUGUACCGUUAACAAUUAUUUAAUUUUAAGGGUGGGCUUUUUCCACCAACGACUUUUGUAAAUUUACCCUACUCUUCAAAUACAAUUACAAUAAAUUUACAAUAUUUUAAAAAAUAUAAAUUAAUACAAAUUUUAUACAGUUAAUCAAUUACAUCUUUUUAUUAAUUUUUUCUUAAAUUUUUUUAUUAUAUUUGAUCAUAAAUUUUAAUAAAAAAUUUAUUUUACUAUUUUAUUAUUAUAAUAAAAAAAAACUAAAUUAUUCCAAUAAACAUAAGUUAUUGUAUCUAAUAAUUUAGAUAUUUAAUUUUGUGAUUCAUAAUUUAAUAUCUUCGAAUGAAAUCUAAUUACCUUACAUGUAAAUUAUAUAAAUAUGACAGCCCAAUAAAUUACAUGAAUAUUAUACUAUAAAGACCCUAUAUUAAUUUAAAUUAAAGUUUAAUAAUCAUACUAAUAAAGUAGUAUUAGACACAAUGAAUUUGAUAUAAAUUUAGAAGAAUAUUGAUGUUAAAGCAAAUUUUUGGUAAUUUUGUCUUAUAGGAGUAAAAUAAUCAAUUUAAACUUAUGACAAAGCAAUCUUUCUAAUAAAAUAUAAUUAAAAAAAUUAAAGUUACAAAAAAGUAAAUUAAGAUAGAUUUAAUUAGUUAAUUCUCCAAAAUUCUUCUUUAUUUAAAAUUUUGAAAAAAUAGUGUGCACUUUUUGUAAUUAUUUUCUAAAAAAAGAAUGAUUUAGUAAUCCAUUGGUAGAAACUAUGCACACAAGGUUUAAUUACACCUUGACAACCAAACAACAUUAAACUUUUUUUUAAUAAAAGCUCAACUUAUAAAAACUUUAUUAAUAAAAAUUUUACUUAAAUGAACUCCAUUUAAAAAGCGAUACUAAACGGAGAAAAUAGAGUAACUUAGUUAAAUAAAUAAAUGAAUGUUGUUUCGUUAAGUUUUUUGUUAAUUUAAAUUAAAUUAGAUAAAAAAAUCAAAUUACUAAUUACGUUUUAAGUAUACAAAUUACGUACUGUCGUUAAUAGUUAAUGCUGUAGAACAAUAGGUCACUAGAAAGACUACCCCAUUUGUGGUCACGUCAUGCUGAAAGAGACAAGUUUACCAUAUUCUUCUAUCCAAUUAAUUUAACCAUCCCAUUGAAUUAAAUUAAUUUUCAUAUUAUAUAGAUUGAAUCAUCUGAUAAUAAUUGUCUUCAAACCAACAACUAUUCCAAUAUUUUAAUGCAUAAGAUAUUCCAAAUCGAAGCUCUGAAUAAUCAUACAGAAGCUGAUGAGUCAUGAAUGGGAAAAACUUCCCCACUUGAAAGAUAUUACAAUUAUUAUCAAUUUUUUUUUUAAAGAUAAGUUUAAUUACACAGAAAACCUCAUCAAAAUUUCAACAAGAAAGUGCGAAUCUCCAUAGGACCAAGCUCAACAACAAGAGUUGAGGCAUCAACAGGGCCACCUCUAACAGGGGAAUGUGUUUUGCCACUUUCUCCUUCAACUUUCCACGUCAUUUUCUUCAUCUCCAAUUUUUCCUGGUUUGCUGAUAAGCUCAUUUCCUUCAGCUGCUUUAUCUGAAAGUUCAAAUACCAAUUGACCCAGAAAGCCAUUUAGCGCCAUCAUCAUUAUUAUUAUUAUUUUUGGGGCACUAAUGAAAUUAAGAGCUUCUUAGAAAGAAAGGUCGGUUUUGCGGACAUUAAACACAAAACAUACUUUGACUGAAGCAAUACUAGUCGUAGUAAGAAAUGAUACAUACUGAUUUGCCCUUGAACAUUUUCUUCAGUUCGACUUUGGCUAGAGUUGAGUACUCGGCAUCUUCACCCUCCUAAUCACAUAAAAUCAUGAGAGAAGUGGAAUUAAGCUGUGCUCAUAGUGUGUAACUUACCCGUGGAACAAAAAGUACAUAAUCAACUUAAUUACAAUGGGAAUCUUUAUUUGUACGACUUCAUAGUUUCACACUUUUAUAUAUAUUCAUCGCCUGGUGCAUUUGUCUAUAUCGCUCUACUGAGUUUUAGUUGUAAUACAUCUAAUAAAAGUCUCAUUUGGUGAAUUUUAGUGGGAACAUGAAGAGGAGCACCAGGUGUAUUUUCUUUACCUCGUAUAGAUGUGCCAGUCGCAGAAGAACACUUCCAUCAUCCAACUCCUGCAAGAAGUAAUUAGAUUGAGAUACAGAUAAAUUUUAUCAAUUCAUUCUACAGUGAGUAAAGAUGCUGUUACCUGAAGAGUAAUUAAAGCAACAUUGAGAGGCAGGCUGUAGUCUGAUUCCAUGGCAGUUGAUUUUGUCAGAUGAGAUUCUGUCCAAGUCUCUAACUUCUGAAUAAUUAAAUUCUUGAGUCAGUUUAAGAUCUGUAACAAGUUGAUAACAAAGUGGCUACAAUCUAGUCAUACCUCUUGUGUGAAAGCCAAGAGAAGUGGUGAAUAAACUUCUUGGCCAGUUGUUCGCCGCCAGCGUGCUCCAGCCCCUAGUUGAUUGACGCUCAAAUAAUAAUUUCCUCUAACCUGACGCAAGAAUAAAAAUAACUUCCAGAUGAGGAAAGAAUCCAAAACUGAGAAGAACAUUGAUGCUUGAUCGUUGAAUUGUAUCUUGCCCCUAACCUAAGUCCAACACUAAUUACACAGCAGAAAAAAGAAUUUUAUUUGCUGUAACUGACCAGGAAUUUAACAACUUAUAUAGUAUGCAUUUCUUCUAAUGGCUAGGUUGCAUAAAAUUCUUUAAGUAUAAGGUGCAGUUGUUAUAUGAUAUUAUACCGUUAGUCCUUCACAAUUAUCUCGAACACAAACACUUUCAUCAAGGGCUUCUCCAACUCCCCUGCCAUCAUCAGCAAGCAUACGCCUUGUUCAUAGACAAUGAAAAGUCAGUUUUACAUGUACAUAUGUACCACAAUAUGUAGAAAUGAUCUCAAUACAGAAAUAUAAAAUAACAAGGAAAUUGAACCUAUGAAGCAUUAUCUCUACUUGUCCAUCUUUAAUGCUGGCUCCUCCAGUAGCACGAUCAACUAAGACUGAGAAUUCAGAUUUCUUAUCCGUAAUGAAAAUUCCAAGAUUAAGCUGGAAAAUCGUAUGGAACAAUAUUAGUGUUCCCAAAAUAGAAUUUUUUUUUGAAGUUUCUCAAAUCGUUAUCAGAAAAACUACUGAGUAUUUUUAUCAAGUUGGAAAAGAAUCACUGUUCUAAUGCGACUAUAAUUUGGCCCUUUGCAUACCUCCAGGGAUUGCUGACUUCCAAAGAGAAUGUUCAGCUUGAUAAUUUAUAGUGAAAUACUUGGAAAGUAAUGAGGGCUCUAGUUGGUUCAACCGGUAAAAACCUCUUUGGGUGGUACAAGAUGUUUAGUAUUAGAACCCCAUUCACAUGGGAGGGGAGGAGGUUUGUCUUCAUUCAUGCAAUACUAUAAAUAUAAGCUGGUACAGCAAUUUUAUACAGCAAUACAUUCAAUUGAACAGUGCAUGACCAUUUCUUUUAGAGCAUAUAUUAGUACAAUAAAUAAUCCAUUCCAAUUGAACUUCUGUGUUCCUUGAUGCAAUUAUAAUUUUCCAUGAACCUAUUUUAAUAAGAUAGAUGCAGAACAAAAUACUCGUCGUAUGAUGAGCGUCUGUGGAAAAUUAGAUUUAAAGGCUGGGCCAAAUAUUCCUGCUAUUGUCAAGUCCAAGGACCUAGAGAAGUCAGGCUUUGCAGUAUCAGGCAGAUGUGGCCAAAGGUAAUAAGCUGGCCUAGUGCAUCCAUAGCACACUCUUAUGCUAAACUCACAUGCACAAAUAUUUAGAUCAUACAUAUAUUUAUACUUAAUGUUGUUCAGAUUAGUAAAAAGAAUAUUACUGGAUAGUAGUUCCCUGCUACUGGUUCAUUAACUUGGAGGGACCAGUCAGCUCUGUAGUCUCGGACCUGCAAAGAGCCAUGAUAGAUAUUCAAGUUAAUAGUUGAGCAACAGCAGAAUAUAUGAGCAAUAAUUUAACUUUUUAGGAAGAAUGAAACUCAAGGUAAGCAGAGAUAAUGAAUUUAGUUAUCAAAACAAGAGAACAAAGAUAGAUUUUCAUCAAAAACUGCUUGUAGAAUGGUAACAUAUAAAGACAUUAUAUGUCUUGGUUAAUAAAGUCAGCUGCCAAUCUGCUAUAAGAAAAGCAACAAAUCUUUUCCAGACAGCUGAAUCUCACAACAAACUCCAUCCAAUUGCUGCUAUAAAAUCUAAUAAUAAUCCAAUAUGGACAUGAUGAGAAACAAUUGUUUAUUUUGCUGAUAUUCGAAAUUUCAAAUGCUUCUUUGAAAAGAGAGAGAGAUUGUAAAUUCACAGAUUAGAAUGAAUAAUUUCUGUAUAUUAUUGAUGAGAAUUACUCCUCUUUAAAUAGAUUACAGGAGAAUAAAUCAAAUCCCACAAAAUCAGAGCUAUAACAGCUAGAAAUCUAAUUCUAAGGAAACAAAUCAGUAAACCUAUUUAAGGAAAUAAAUCUUGCCAAAUAACAUAGAUCCUAAUAUAUACAAUUCUAAUUAUGUAUAAUUCUGAUUUCAUCCACACUCCCCCUCAAGCUUGGCUAUAGAUGUUGAUGAGACCAAGCUUGCCUUCAAGAAAGUCAUGAGUCUGUUCUGAGAGUCCUUUUGUGAGGAUAUCAGCCAGUUGGUGAGAUGUAGGCACAUAUUCAAGCUUGAUAAUGUUUCCAUCAAGCUUUUCUUUAAUAAAAUGUCGAUCAACCUCCACGUGUUUAGUCCUAUCAUGAUGAACAGGAUUGUGAGCUAUACUAAUUGCUGACUUAUUAUCACAAUAGAGCAGCAUAGGUUCUUCAAAUCCAAUCUUUAAUUCCUUCAGCACCCUUCUUAUCCAGAUAAGCUCACACACUCCAUGUGCCAUAGCUCUAAACUCGGCUUCUGCACUACUUCUAGCAACCACUGACUGUUUUUUGCUACGCCAAGUCACCAGAUUUCCCCAUAGCAGCGUGCAAUAACCAGAUGUUGAUUUACGAUCAUUAAUUGAUCCAGCCCAAUCAGCAUCUGUGAAUGCUUUCACCUUUCGAUCAUUAGUCUUUGCAAAAAACAAGCCUUUUCCGGGUGUUUGCUUCAAGUAUCUCAGGAUUCUAUAUACUGCAUUCAAAUGACCUUGACAUGGUACGUGCAUAUGUUGACUUACUAAACUCACUGCAAAGGCAAUAUCCGGUCGUGUAUGUGAGAGAUAGAUAAGCUUUCCAACUAGGCGUUGAUACUGUCCUUUAUCGACCAGCCCUCUUUCAAGCAUUUUUCCUUUGUUGCCAAGUUCAACUGGAGUCUUACUCGGCUUGCAUCCCAGCAUGCCAGUUUCUUCCAACAAAUCUAAAGUAUAUUUUCUUUGAGAGACAGAGAUCCCCUUCUUACUCCUUGCAACUUCCAUUCCAAGAAAGUAUCUUAACGCUCCAAGGUCUUUAACUUCAAAUUCCUUUGCCAUCAUCUGCUUGACUCUUUCCACUUCUUUGUUAUCAUUUCCAGUGACAAUGAUAUCAUCAACAUACACUAUAAGAAUAGUAAUUUUUUCAUUUUCAGCAUGCUUAACAAACAACGUGUGAUCAGCUUGUCCCUGGACAUAGCCAAUUUCCUUGAUAACUUUGGAGAAUCUGUCGAACCAAGCCCGUGGAGACUACUUUAGACCAUAGAGGGACUUGUUGAGUUUACAAACAGUGUGACUCCCUAGGUUUUCUUCAAAUCCUGGAGGUUGACACAUAAAAACUUCCUCUGCAAGCUCACCAUUUAGAAAGGCAUUUUUUAUAUCAAGUUGAUGUAGAGGCCAAUCAGAGUUUACAGCCAAAGAUAGAAGAAUUCUGAUAGUGUUGAGUUUGGCAACAGGAGCAAAGGUCUCAGUGUAGUCAAUCCCGUACGUUUGAGUAAAGCCCUUGGCCACUAGACGCGCUUUGUGUCUUUCAAUUGAACCAUCAGCCUUAUACUUGACAGUGAAUACCCAUUUACAACCCACUGUAUUUUUUUCUUGUGGCAACUCUACCAGGCUCUAUGUAUUGUUCUGUCUAAGGGCGUGCAUUUCUUCAAGAACAGCAGCUUUCCACUCGGGAAUAGAUAGGGCCUCUUCAAUGGAUCUAGGAAUCAAAACACUAGACAAACUCGAGGUGAAAGCAUGGAGUGAAGGAGACAGAUUUGAGUAAGAUAUGAAUUUAGAAAUGGGGUGAUGAGUGCAAGAUCUAACACCUUUUCUUAAUGCUAUUGGCAUAUCUAGAUCAGGAAUAGGACUGAAUUUACCUAACUUGUUUGGUGAAUGAGACUCUACCAUCGGUUCAUCCUCGUGACUAUGAGUAGGAUUCAUGAUUUCUUUAUUUGCUUGAGACUUUUUCUUUCUAGAGUAGACUUGCAAUUCUGGUUGUUUAGAUAUUGAAAGUGUUGAAUCUCCUCUUGUUUCCAAUACUGGUGAAAUUGGAUCAAUUACAGGAGGACUGAUUUUAGUUGACUCAGGAAUAGAGACGGCUGUAUCCAACUUAACAUCAAGUAAGGGCAGGUCAUGGAUAUCCCAAGAACAGCAAGCUUCAUCCCAUUUCUCCCCCUGAAGCGAAGUUGGAGAAAAAUAUGGUGUAUUUUCAAAGAAUGUGACAUCACAAGAAAUAUAUGUUUUUUUAGUUUUUGGACAGUAACACCUAUAUCCUUUUUGGGUUGGAGAAUAACCAAUGAAAACAGUUUUGAUGGCUCGAGGGUCAAGUUUACUUCUAUUAUGGUCAUGAAUAUGGACAAAUGUUGUGCAACCAAAAAUUCUUAAUGGAAGUGUAUUAGACUUAGAGACAUGUGGGUAGGUUUUUGAAAGAACAGAUAAAGGGGUUUCAAAAUUGAUAGGACGACUUGGCAUACGAUUUAUGAGGUAGGUAGCAGUGAGGAUAGCAUCCCCCCACAAGUACUUUGGGAUAUGCAUGGUAAACAUGAGUGCCCGAGCUACCUCUAAUAAAUGACGAUUUUUUCUUUCCGAUACUCCAUUUUGUUGUGGAGUAUCAACACAAGAACUUUGAUGUUGAAUUCCAUUUUCUAACAAAUAAUCACCAAGAAUGGAAUUGAAAUAUUCUUUUCCAUUGUCAGUUCUUAGAACACGAAUUUGGCUUUGAAAUUGAGUUUGAAUCAUUUUGUGAAAAACUUUGAAUAUGUGACUGGCUUCAGAUUUGUUAUGUAGGAGAUAAACCCAUGUAACCCGUGUGUGAUCGUCUAUAAAUGUAAGAAACCAUCUUUUCCCAUGGCAAGUUGUAAUUUUUGAAGGUCCCCAUAUGUCACUGUGGAUCAAAGAGAAUGGAGUGGAAGGAAUGUAAACCUUUGGAGAAAAAGACAUGCGAGUAUGUUUAGCUAAUUGGCAAAUUUCACACUCAAAAGAAACAGUAUUUUUAUUAUCAAACAAAGACGGAAAUAGUCGUUUUAGAUAUAAAAAACUAGGAUGGCCAAACCUAUGAUGCCAUAACAUUAUUUCAUUAGUACUAGAAACAGAUGUAGAAGCAACACCAGACAAAAAAAUUUGUUGACUCUUUGGGUGAUCAUCAUUAAAGUAAUAAAGACCAUCAUGAAUCCUAGCACUGCCAAUCGUCUUCCCCGAUGAUAGGUCCUGAAAUUGACAAGAAGAAGACAAGAAAUUAGCAACGCAAUGAUUGUCACGUGUGAUUUUGCUAACAGAGAUUAGGUUGCAUUUUAGUGCAGGGACAUGGAAGACAGAUUUGAGGAUUAAAUUUGGAGAUAGUUUUAUGUCACCAAUUCCAACUACUAGUGUAAAAGAUCCAUCAGUAAUUUUAACAGUGAUAUGUUUAGAACAAGGGACAUAAGAGUGAAAACAAUUAGAGCUACCUGUCAUAUGAUCAGAGGCCCCGGAAUCAAUUAUCCAAGGGUCUGUAGAUUGAAUCAUUGAUUGGGAAUUUAGGAUAGAGUAGAGUUUACCAGAUUUGGCAACAGAACAUGAUCCACUGGUGGAGUUUGCAUAGUUGGGUGGAUGGGUCUGAGAGGCAUUGACAGAAGAUAAAUUGAGAAGUUUGCAUAGUUGGUCAAUUUGUUCCUUGCUGAACGGAAUAGAAGCACCAGAGUGGUCUUGAUUGGAUUGGGUAUGGUGUGCACGUCCGUCAUUUUUUUUUCGAGGCUGCCAAUUUGCUGGUUUCCCAUGAAUCUCCCAACACUUGUCCCGAGUAUGUCCAGGUCGAUUACAAUGAUCACACCAUGGUCGCUUGUUCGAACGAUGAUCAGGAUGCUGCUGUCCAUUUGAGUGAGUUUUAGUAGUCAUUAAGGCUGAUACUUCUGGUGCGGAUGGAGGUACAGAUUUGUCAUCCGAGAGCAUCACCUUUCGCCUAGCUUCCUCACGUCGUACUUCUGCGAAGGCUUCGUCAGUAGAAGGGAAAGGCUUUUGAGCCAUCACUCGGCCCCGUACCUCAUCUAGAUUUCUAUUAAGACCAGCAAGGAAAUCAAAUACUCUUUCUUUUUCAAGGUUAUGCUUUUGCUUGACACUGCACUCAGCACAAAAUGAGUCAUCUUCAAAAAACAGAUCUAAUUCUUGCCAAAGAUCUUGGAGGUCAGAAAAAUAUUGGGUGACAGAGUUGGAACCCUGUUUCAUCUCCUUCAAUUUUGAACGAAUCUCAAAAAUCUGAGAAGCAUUCCCAAGAUCAGAGUACAUCCGUCGAGCUGCAUCCCACACAUCUUUGGCUGUCUUGAACCAGAGAUAACGACGACUAAUCUGUGGUUCCAUUGAAUUGAUGAGCCAUGCAAGAACAAUAGAAUUUUCAGACAGCCAUGUCUUGUACAAUGGGUCAGUUGUCUUGGGAGCAGGGAGUUCACCAGUGAUGUAGCCCAGUUUACCACGCCCACAAAUCACAAUCUUGACUGACUGUGCCCAUUGUAGGUAGUUUCUACCAUUUAAUUUGUGGGUUGUAAUAUGAAGAGAUGCAUCGCUUCCGGAAAGAGAAGCAAUUGGGAUGGAACUAGGCUCAGCCAUAGAUUGGCUAGAUGUUGAAGAUCCGGUAUUGUCACCAGAUGAGAUGUCGACUUCUUUUCCAGCCAUAAGAGACAAUUAGUCCUUAGGCUCUGAUACCAUGUAAAUUUACAGAUUAGAAUGAAUAAUUUCUGUAUAUUAUUGAUGAGAAUUACUCCUCUUUAAAUAGAUUACAGGAGAAUAAAUCAAAUCCCACAAAAUCAGAGCUAUAACAGCUAGAAAUCUAAUUCUAAGGAAACAAAUCAGUAAACCUAUUUAAGGAAAUAAAUCUUGCCAAAUAACAUAGAUCCUAAUAUAUACAAUUCUAAUUAUGUAUAAUUCUGAUUUCAUCCACAGAGAUUAACGAGUCAAGGAAUGGAGUAAUUGAUAUCAAAGAGGAAAUGAGAAAUUGAGGUUACCCGCUUUAGGAAGUCCCUUCCGUUCGAAUCAGUAUAAAAGACCUUUUCUGUGACCAUGUUGGCUGUCAUCCGUGAUAUUACCUCUUUCCCAACACUAUCUUCUGUUGGAAUUGGCCCAAUCUUCAAAAUGAAAUAUUUUCAGAACUAAUAAUAUUUGAGUCUAGAAUGAUCACACUUAAUUACUAUCAAAACUGAGUAGAAAUUUAACCAUAAUGAGGAAGAAAGGUACGUGAUAAACAGUUGAACUAUGUGAUAAAAAAGUCAGAUAAUGGAAGAAAGGUGUCAAAAGCUAGGUAAUGUGACUCACUGUGUACUCUACUUCAGCAUGCUCUUUGUCGAUGUAAAGUCUUGUGACCUAACAAACAACAAAGUCAACAAAUAAUCAACUUGUGGGAGGCAAAAGAAAUCAACAAUAAGCAUAGAUAAUGAAUCUGAAUACGAAAACAAAAUGUUAAAAUUAAUUUCAAAUAGGUCUUUCGCAUGGAAAUCAUUAAAUUACAAUCAGUUGUAAAGUCCCCAAGCCUUUUUUUUUUUUUUUUUUUGGAAUCAUGGCAUCCUUUACAGCUAUAUUUCAAAUUUAUGCAUCUUCAAAAUAUGAAGAAAAAGCAGCGGUUAUGAUAAUACGCCACCGAAACUAUUAUAAAGUUUCAAUUUUCAAUAUCUUGUAAAUUAUAUAAUUAACCCUCCAGAUGAAAAACAUAUCCUGUAUUGUUGCACAACACUGAUGUUGAUAUUCCCUGGUGUGUAUGUGUAGGGACUUGUACAUAUACACUUAAUGUAUAUAGACAGAAGGGGGUGUUGAACGGUAAGAUUGAUGACCUGGUAGAUCCAUGAAUUAAAUUGUUGGUGCACUUCAUCAACCAGUGGCCCACGAAUAAUUUUAAUGGGCACCUGCAAAUUAAAUUAACAUAUUUUAAUAGAUAUAAAGGAAGAUCAAAGUAAUUACCAAAUGUUUGCACAACUAAUAGACAGUGGAAGAGAUAAGAAGUUGCGAGGAAAAAAAGAAAAUAUAUUAGAAAUUGCACAGGCAAAAUUCCAUAAAUUUGGAUGAGGCUUUGUGGUGUUGAUGGAAGUAGCUUAUUAAUUUUUCACUUUCAUGUGUUCUUCCACAUUUACAUUUCUGUGUAGUGAGAAUGGCAAGAUAGGAAGCAAACCAAAUAAUGUUCUUACUGAUCUUGAAACAACAUUUGGUUGUGCCCCAUUAGGCCGGAAAAUGUAGGCACCUGAAGACUGCAAGAGAGGGUAGACAAUUGGAAUGUCAACUGGCACCACAACAGAAUUUGGAUAUUCUAAUCCAGGGUACCGCGAGAACUUACCUGAGUAUCUACCAUUGAACCAUACCAGAGAAAGCUCUGUUGUAUCGGUACAUCAACCUGGUAAAAUGUUAUCACCUCUUUACAUAUGCAUCUAUUAAUAUAUGCACUGGAAAAUGGGUAUAUAGACUGUGUGACAGUAUGUGUAAGUGGAUGAUAUCAACAAUUCAUAGUUUGGUCCACCAAGAUACAACUUACCCCAGUUCUUGAAUUAUACAUCCGUUUGAGCUGUCCUGUGGUUCGAGAAAAGGACAUCUUCAGAUUUCCAGGUCCAACUUCAACAGUCUUAUCCUGUGGACUGUCUGCCGCUAAGAAAAAUCCCUUUCUUCUUUUCACUGCAUCAUUGUGCAGCAUAAACAGAAGACAAUACAAUAGAAUGAACUACAAAAAUGACUUAUAGAAUCUCCUUAGUAAAGAUUAUGUGCAAGUUAAAUGAUGUUCAACAUUUGUACGCUCCUAAGGCAGAGCAAGGGCAAAGGAGUAGACAAGUACCUUUCCCAGCUGCUCGGGAAAUGAAGUAAGUGUUCCAACCUAGUGGUGGCACAGUUACUUGAAAGAGAAGCCAAUAUCUGGGUACUUGCUUUGAUGACUGUCCCAAGUAGGCCUCUGUGUAGAAUUUUCUUAAGUUGCUUGUAACAUUAUCCAAAUUUACAUAUUGCACAGUGAUAGCAUUGCCCAAGGGAUCUUUGACAAUAAGAUUAGCAUCAUUAACCUGGUAGGUAUUGUAUUUGAAAAUCACAAUUAGGGAAAAUAUUGUACUUUUUAUUAGCAUGUUAAUAGGAAAGAAGAAGGUCAAGACAGAGCUCAUGGUACUAAAAUCUGAUAAGGUGUACUAAUAAUAGGCAUUUGAUCAGGUCCUCACUAACAUAAUUAAUAGAAUCACACUUGUUCCCAAAUCCACAAAAAAGGAGCAAAUAUGUACUCACUGGUAUUCUAAUAAUGUCAGUUCGGUUCCAUCCAAGAGGAUUAUAUGCCACUACAACCUGAAAGUAACCAUUUGAUGGAAGAUGAAAAAUGCUUGUACGAACAAUAGGGAAAAAAAAGAAGGAUAAUAUGAAAAGUUACCAAAUUCUUCCCUUCUGGAAUGCCUUUCUCUGUAGGAGGGCAGUAGCUGAUAUUUAGUAAUGGACACUGUUCAAUAAAAGUAUAAAACAAAGGAAGAAAAAGGAGGAGAGUGAAUAGCGGCAAUUAGGCAAGGAAUAAAUGAUCUUCUGAAAAUACUAUGAAUCGCGUAAUUUUCAGGCUGCAUAGCAACCUCACAGCAUUUAUAUGAUGUCUUAGGAAAGUUAUAACACAACACAUGAUGAAUGCAUAUAAAUACCAUCCGAGAAAAAUGCGAAAUUAUGAAGUUGAAAAAAUCAAUAUCUAUAGCUUCUCAAAAAAUUGAUUUUGGAAUUUAUCUCUUUAUAUUGAAAUAAAUUAAAAUCUUACCUGACUAAAUGUGGAUGCUGGCUUUGUACAUUGAUCUCCUGACUUCCUGCUAGCAAGGCAUGAUAGAGAAGAACUAACAACAACUUCAGCCUGUAAAAAGUGGUAGCACUAAAAGGUUAAUAACAAAUUCAGCAUACAUGAGGAAUCGUGAUGAAAGAGACAAAGCUUAAAGCUAAAAGGUCAAAUUCAGAGGGAAGUCAAUCAACCCACCUCAGAUGCUCCAAUAGCGAGGCGUUUAGCAUAGUCGUUUGUUGUAUGUUGUUUGGCAGUACCAGUGACAGCAUCAUGGUGCUGAGCAAUUCCCAAAGCAUCGCCCAAAGCAGAAGUGGUGGGACCGGGUGAUUUCUUCCCCGCCAGGAAUUCUAGUUGUCUUGAUGCCUAUUUAAUCAGGAAAAUCCAAAAAAAUGAUGAAAAAAACUUCAGCUACGAAGAGUCUGUUUUAUUAUAAACAUGAAAAGACCACAUAAUAACCUAGCUUAAAAGAACAGGAGGAGAAGAGUUCCCCCAAUCUCGUGCCAAAAAACGUACCAAGUAAAAUCCACUCAGCACCCGAACAUAUCCCUUCAAUGCGGGCCGACUAGUAAAGAAGCCUGUCCAAUAAGCAUUUCGUCGAUCUGCAUAGCUGCCAGCAAUUAUACAUAGUACAAUCAUAUGCUUAAAAUAGAUUUUUUUGAGGGAUAAAAAUGCUUUUAUCAACAAAAGGAAAGGGAAUAAAUGAUGGCACUAGUUAUGCUCACGGCAAGUAGUCAUCAGUUUUCAGAGGCCAUGGUCCAUUUGCUGCAUUUUUUGCUUCAGUGUAGAGAGAUGGUGUAGAAUAUAAUGCAUUCACUCGACCAACCUGAGAAUUACAUAAUCUAUACUAAGCAAUAUAUAUAGUUCGACUGAAAAUGGAUGGUGGAAAUUAAAACUCAAACUACAGACAGAUUGAUAGAGAAGAGUCUCAGGGGAGUUAUCAUCAGGGCUGGUGUUUGACGACAAAAUUGUCAAGGAUAAUCUAUGGAAAUAUGUAUAAUCUCACGUAUAACAGAAAAUUGAUAAAAUCACACUUCUCAUGAACUCUACCUUGUUAACAUAGUGAAUCAGUUUGUCCAUCUGCUUGAACCAAGACUCCGCAUAUUGGUACUGGAAAUCAUCGCCCAUUGUCCACAUAAUAUGGUUAUCCCUGGUGACAUUUGCCUACAGAUUAUGACAUGGCUACUUCCUGUCAUAGCAUGCUUAAAUAUCUGUGUUCAAACAAUAAGAGCAACAGACGAAGAAAUUUUACUUGGGUUAAAGCAGCGUCAAUAAAGUCAUUAACCCACUGUUCAACAUUGUAGCCAUCUAGAAGUGGAUUGUCCUGCAGUCAUAAUGAAACAGAAGAGCUACGAUGAAAAGAAAAAAUAUAAAUAAACUCAACCAACCUUUUAGAAGAGUAAACCUAGCAGAAAAUAAGAACCUGAACGGGGUCAAAAUCAUCAGUUAAUUCAAAAUGGAAACCACUUGGAGGACUAUAAUGCACGGGAAAGGCAUUGGUAAAAAUCUGCAAAAGAACACAGACAGCUUAAAGUGAUCAUGAGAAAACUCAAAAAGAAAACAAGAUGGAAACUGGUAAUGGAGGUCACAGUUUCCAACCUGAGACGAAGAACCAAAAGUCUUGGACCCACGCCAUAUAACUUCAAGGGAUUUGUCUUCCUUGCGCUUUGCUCUGUCCUGAUAAUCAAUUCUGGCAAAAUGUACAGAAUCGAAACCAAGCUGCCAGUAAAAGCUUUUUAUCAAUUAAAACAUAUCCCCUUCGGCAUAAUUCAUAAAUGAUAAAUGGAAACUGAGACUCUCAAAUGAUAACCUUAUGCAUACAAUUAUGUCAUGACAUUUGGUUAAACAGAACACGUCACUUGUUACAAAGAGUGGAAAAUAUUUGGUUGCAAAAGGGUACCAAAAUCAGUUCACUUUAUUGCCUUACUGAAGCAUGCUUAUGAUUAUAUCAUUUUUUUUUAAUUUAAAAAAAAGGUACUGACCAACAGGGUGUGCAAAUCUUACAAAUAAAAUUAUUUACCUCAACACCAAGUAGAUAAGCUUGCACAGCUGAGUGUCCAAAUGGAUCAAUUUGCCAUCCAGCUUUAGGAGUUUUGUUAAAGUGCUGCUUAAUAUAAUGAUGACCAAGAGUUGUUUGGUCUAUCAUGUCUACGUAAUGGGUUGUGGCUUCAUCAUGCAUACACCAACCUCCAUUUCUGCAGAUAGACACAAAAGGAUUUGUCAUACAUUCCAAAAAGAAAUUAAAAAAUUGUGGCUGUUGAUAACUGCAUACACGAAUUCCAAUUGGCUGGCAUCAACAAGUUUUCUCACUUGUUCUUGUAUUUCUGGACUUUGCCCAACCCACCAUCGAUGGAAAAAUGCCUGUCGUUUGUAUCAAACAUUAUCAUAUGAGAAAAAGAAAGAUACAAUUAUUGAAGAGCAGUAAGGAAUAGGAAAUGGAGGCAAAAUGAAUGCACACUCACGCAUUGAAAAUUGCAUUGCAAUUGGCUAAUCUAUUUGGAAAUGUAACAACCAACUAGUCUUACCAUUUAUCCAUCCCUUUUAAUGAAACAAACGUAUAAAUUAUGAAAGGUAAAGAUUACCGGCAAAGUGUUAAUUAACUGAUAUAUAUAAAAACUCAUCAUGGUUCAAAGAAGAUUCACUUGUAAACAUUUGAAACCUACUUUAGGUUCAACUUUUCAAUAAAGUUGCAGACAAUUAACCCAUCCACACGUGGCAAUUAAGAAAAAAGAAUAUAUGCAAUACAACAAUCGUUUGUAUACCAAUAAUCCCACGUUCACCGCUGCAGAACAAGGAAUAAAGGGAAUUUAAUUAAUUACCAUUUCAGCAAACACAAAUUUUCUAUUUGGAUCCCGACGCAGAGCUUCCACAACUGAGUCCAACACAUUCUCCACACAAGCACUCUACACCAAAAACGAUAACAGCAGAGAUAAAACAAAGGAAAUUCACGAGAUAACAAAAUCAAACUGAUCAACAACAACAAGUUGUAUAUACAGUUAAUACCUGAAUGCUAUUAUUUGAUCCAACAUAGUAUUGAUCAACUGUCUUCAGCCAUCCAACAUCAUCAUGUGAAUGUGCAACCAAAUGAACAUUCAAUUUGCCCGCCACAACUCCGGCUCCAGUAUUGUACUUCACAUAAUCGCUACCAUUAACAACUGCCGAGCACAAACACAGCACACAGAGCAAUACAGAAGCCAAACUCUUCAGCUCUUCCAUUCUCACACAACCCAGAUGCGAGUCUAGCUAUCUAUGCCUCUUCUCUUCAUCAACAUACAUGCAUGCAUACAUAUAUGUAAUGUCAAGAGACCACUACUUGGACUAGGUAGCAUGAAUGUGGACAAUUAAUUGACAUCGUACUUCACUACAGACACUAUAUGAAGGCCGGCGUGAACUAAGGAUUUGGACUUAUUAUGGCUAGUGAAGUGGCCAUUUUUCUUAUUUCAAUAAUGAUAAUGGAGCCCAUACCUGAAUUUACCUGCAUUUUAACAAAUUUAAAAAGUACAGUUUCACGGUGAUCCGUGACUAUUGUAAGCGUGUUUCCCGACCGUUUGAUACACUUUUGCGUGGUCAAUAAUAUUGAUCUAACAGCAACAAUUUAUUUAAUAUGUAAGGGGGAGGUAGUAGCGUGUAGGUUAGUGCUUUGGUAACGGCUCGUGGACCCACAUGACAUGUUGUUUACUUAUGUCGUUGGAGAAGGGAUGGCGCAGUGGAUUGACUGCAGCUGCCACUGUAAAGAGGACACUGAGCUUGCUGUGAUAGGUUAGAGUGAUGUGAAAAUACACUUGAUUAAACCUCUCCCAAAUGUAACGCCAUGUUUGGUUAAAAGAGGAUCACAUUUCAUUAUAAAGAUAAGGACAACUGAGAAAUGGUGACAGCUUAUGAAAGUCAUUAGUAGUAUAAUUGAUGAGCAAUUACCCGAUGGAUUUGUUUACCCAUUUUUGACAAUUCUUGUAAUGUGCAAAAUUUACGGUUUGGAAUAUUAAGUACUUCUUAAAUAAUUAACCAAACAAGGAAGAAAGGGUCCCCUAUAUAUUAAAAUCGUAUCUCAAUUUAGUGCUACAAAAGCUAACUUAACCCAGUUGAAAACCUUGCCGUUUUAUUAACCAGUUAAAAUAGGUUUAUCUCAGAUUAUAUAAUCUUAACAGAAACUAGUUUUUAUUAAAAAAAAUAGCAACAAAGGAUCACUCAAAAAUAAAAUAAUAGCAAUAAAGGGCUAAAUAAUAGGCCGGAAACCUCAGUGGAGCUGGCAAGCACAGACCAUAACAAGAAUGCAAAAGCACUUUAGAAAAUUUCAAUACUACGACUUGAUCAUUUGGGUGAUUCUCUAGGAGUCACUAACAUUUUUACAUUGCAUUGUUAACUCCUUGUUAUGUGUUUCUGCAUGCAUGUCCUUAGUGUUUGAUGUUUCCAUUAAAAUCAUUAUGCCACGAUAAUCAAUUAACAAGCUUUUGACGCUUCUACAGAAACGCUUUUUUCCUUCUUUUUUUGUCAUUUAUUUACAGCUGUUUCCCUAGAUAAGUAUGUCAAAAGUUUAUUUUCUUCGAAUCUGCUUUGGAGGCCAAGAGAAAAACAAUCUCUGUGUCUUAAUCGCCACAAAAUCACGACAUUUGUCUCUGCAUACGCAUUUCAAAUGUAUUCCCACAAGCAAAGGCUCAACCUCAAGACUCGAGUAAAUAUGAACGAUAAUAUAUAUAGCCAGACAAAACGCUGUUCUGAAGUAACCCUGUAUUAGCGUUGAUUCAUUCGGAGUAUAAUUUAGAAAGUUGCCAUUAAUAAACUAGUGGUUACUGUGAAGCCCUUUCAAAUACAAAUGAAAAUCACAAUCUGCACCAUUCAUUGGCCACAAUGAAGAGGUUAGUGACUUGCGAUAAUAAAAACUUCAUGUAAUAAUCACUACCGUUAUCACAAAUAUUAGUAACCUGGAGAUCCCAAAAAGUAAGAAAUUUACAAGAAUUUAUCAAAUUUGAAACAUCUUGUACCCCAGAAGCUGAUAAAGAUCAUGAACUGGGUGAAUUCAGAAGUCUAAACCUGACAUUGAAAAGCAACUGCAGAGAAUUAUUUCUUCUCCUCCUCCUCUUUUGACGCCUUGUCUUCAUCCUUCUUCUCUUGGGGCUAACAAGCAUACACAAUACAACCAGGUAUCGAAAACAUUCAUCAGACACAUUCACCUUGCAUAAGAAUAAAAAAUCUAAAACCAAAAUUUAUUGAAAAUUCCACACUCAAACAGAAAUAAACAGACACACUAACCCAAUAUCCAAAUUUUUAGCUGAUACGGUACUAUCAAAUUUUUAGUAUAUAGAGAUUUGUCUAUUCAUCCUACCAAGUCUGAUGAACUCACCUCAGACUGGUUUUGCAUGGAAGUAAGCACAUCUUUAACAGAAGGAUCUUCUGGAUCAACCCCUGGAAGCUGUGGAACAAAAAAUGUAUUAAUUAUUACAUGCAGGGAAAGAACAGGUCAUGAGAUACCUAUGUUUCUCACUCGGGCUGGGGGGAAUAAUUAUUGCAACUUUAGCAGACAUACCGAUGCAAGGAUGGAGGACACAAAAGCCUGGUCAGCCAACAACUGGCUCAUGUCACUAUGGCUUGGUGCGUCUUUCGUGCCAUCUUGCAUGGAUAAUUGAAGAGCUACAAGCAACAGAUAUGGGGAGAGUAUUAAUCAUUUAAUGCCAAAGUUAGUUUAACUUUUUUCCAAGUGUCUAUUUAAUUAUAGAAUGCUAAACGGGAAAACUAUUAAUAAGCAGGUGAAAAUAUCAAAACAGGGGCAAAACACCAUCGACCCAGAAGAAUAGCAUGAUACUUCACAAUCAAAUAGAAUUCCUAUUAGACAGAAAUGCAGGGGAAAGGUAAUGUGAAAAUGACAGUCAGCCAGUAUGUUGUCCAAGAAUAGCAUAAUACCUAACCUUGUGCACUUAUCAUCGAGAUGAGGUAUACGGUAUAUAUAAGCAUACAACCAUGCCAAACAGCCAAAGAAAACAAAACUGCUGAGCACAAGGACUCUCACCUAAUGCCAACUCUGGAUCAUCUUCAGCUACCUCUGACAUAUUCGUAUCUCGCCCAGAGGGAUAACUAGGAGUUGAUGACAUUGCAAUGGCCUCCUGUAGCAAACCCUCGUCAUGCUGUUACAAAUAUUCAAGGUUAAAUUACUGAAUAAUUUCUGUUGAUAAUGAAUAAUUUAAGCAAGCAAAUACCAAGGUGAAAUGCAAUAAAUAGCACAAACCUUCGUAGUCUUCUUCUUAUCAUCAGCUUCAGAAGCUGGAACACUGUCUUGAUCAGUCAUAGUUACAUCCUGCGAGCUAGAUUGCUGUUCCCCUUGUUUUUCCUUUUUAGCCGCUUCCUCUGCUGCUCUCUUAGCUGCUGCUUCUUGUCUGGCUCUCUCCUCUUCCAUUGAAACUCUGAGAGCAAGGGCCAGUUCAGGAUCUAGGUUGGGGUCCACCCCAAAUUCAUAACCAGAAGCACCACUGGCUGCAGCAGCAGCUGCAGCUGCCGCAAAACCACUCCCUCCCUCACCAUCCCCAGUGAAGAUAGGCGUACUGACAUGAGAAAGGAAAUUUUUUAACUCAAAUCAGAAUUUCAUAUGAAACUCAACCACUAAAAUUCAAAAGAAAUGAAGAAAACUAAAGCAGAGUAUAUUACCUAAGAAGCACAUCAGAAAGGGCAUUUGGACCAGGAGGAACGUGAACAAGGUGGCUACUGUCAUUGUUGUUCACAGCAGCAAGAAGUGCUUCAAGCUUCUCCGUAUUCCCCUCAUCGUCUUCACCAAAGUUGACAAUGUCAAGUGCUACACUAUUCUUUUUCAACUUCCUGCCAAUCAUCUCCAGCACUUUCUUUUCAUGCUUGAUGGGACUGCAAACACACAAGCAUAACACAAGAUAGAAAACAAAAUGAUAGAAUUAAAAUGCAUAAAGAACCGAAUUCAAACCCACCUUCCAACGAAGACAAUAAUCCUUUGUUGCUGCUUUUUGUUCUGGCGAUGCUUUAGAGCCAAUUGAGCCACCUGGAUCCCAGCAGCAAGAUUCAACUCACCGCCUAUUUCUAAACCUGCAUCCAGCAACAUAAAUCAAUACAUAACUGAUGCACUUCUGCUUAGCACUUUGAAUGCACAACAAAACCACUCCUUGUUGACAACUACUAAUUGCAUCCUUCAUUUCCACUGCAGCAGUGGACCUCAACCCCAAGCAUACCCUUGAUCUUGAACAAAUAGGUGUGAAAGCAAGAAAGAUAACUAACCGUGCAUGCAAGCCAAGAUCUUGCCAAGAUCACUAGUAGGAGUGACCAAAACACGAACCCCUUUCCCUGCCAUUGUCAUAACACCUACGGUAUUCUCAGGAUUUAACUGUUUACACAAAGCAACUCAUUUCAAAUAAACCCUAAAAGACAAAUCAGCAGUUACUAUUUUUUUUUUUUAAAAAGGACAAACUCCCAGUUGAGCAUGAAAAAGAAACAAUACAUAUAACCAAUUAAUGUAAGUUUCUUAAUUAACUAAGAAAUACAGGAAAGAUAAAAAAAAAUUAUUUAAAAAGGAAAAAAAGGAAAAAGAAAAAGAAAUAAAGAAACCUGAGUUUUGGCUCCGCAAAUGAGAUUAGCAGCUUCAGUUUGAGCUUGGAAUCUACUAGGAGCGUAAUCGCCGUUACGCAUCCACUCAGAAUUAUCAAUACAGAUCAACGUUGCCUGAAUUUAGUUUUUAAAAUUUUUACAUUUUUUUUUUAGAUUUCAAUGGUUAAUAAAAUGAAUAAUUUGAAAUUAAAAUGAAAACGAGAAAGAGAAAGAAGAAAACCUAAAUAAACAUUUUAUUGAUUACCUCGAGAACCAUGGCUAUCUACUCUUUGAGAUCAGAAACAGAACAAAUGCCAAUGCUCGGGAAAGAAUGAGAGCAGCGUCGUUAAAGAAGACUCAAGUAAGAAAUUUUAAGCUUCUCAAAUAAGAAAAGGAAAAAGCAAGAAGUUUCAAGUUUAGCCGCAGGACAGGUAUCGUGGCGUUCUCGUGUGCUCGAGAUUACUACACUAACUAGCGCGUGCUGCGUGUCAGGUCAUUAUUGGUUUUUUUUAAUACUAAUUACAUAUUAGAAUACUGUAUUACAUAAAUAUAUUUACAACUGUUGUUACAAUAAAUAUUAUACUAAUAUUUAUAAUUAGAUAUACAUAAUUAAAAUUUAUAUUGUUACAUUAAAUUUAUGAAGUACAUGUUCAUUGUUCAAUAAGAUAUAUAUAAUUGAGAUUUAUAUUAUUACAUUAAAUUUAUGAAGUAUAUGUCCAGACAAAUAAUCGUCACAGAGAAGGGAUGUUUUUGCUCCACUUGUAUUUCACAAGAGAGAAAAAUUUAUAAAUAAGCUUUACCCAAUCAUGUAUAAUACUUUAUAAAUAAACUUCACCCAAUCAUAUAUAAUGCUUAAUUAAGAGAGUUUUAAGUUCAUGAGAAAUCGAACCACUACCCUUAUAAUCUUUUUUAACUGUGAGAUUAAAGAUUCACCGCUGGACAAAGUCUCAUUAGCCAGGUCAUUAUUGGUUAGAAUGGGCAAGUACAGGAAUUCAAUUUUGAGAGGGUAAUAGGAAUUUGUUUUUAAGCCAGUUACAUGAUGCCACGUUGGAAAUAAAAUUAUAAACGAGGAAUGGCUUGCGUAAGAGGCCUUAUAUUUUGGACAUCUAAUUCUAUAUAGUCUAUAUAUCAUACUAUAACAGCGGAUUAUAGUAUGAGCUCAAAUUCUCAUUCGGAUUUUGUGUCUUUUUUACAAAAUUAUGUUAGAUUUAGAAAAUUUUAAUGAAGAAAAGUAAUUCGAGAGCUAAAAGUUGAAGCCAAGUAAACAACCGAUGGAUCCUUUUUCUUAUUAUAAUACAACCAAUCGAUUCAAGUGUCUAUCGGUGGACAUGCAACUUCUUCUGCCACUAUCCAUGGCCCUGCAGGAAGGAACAUCUAAAGAUCAUCAUGUCAUCUUAUUCAACAUCAAUCAGGUCAUCAUGAUCAUCAAGGUCAGUGUCACAUGAAUGGCUGGAGUGAAGAGAAUGCUCUGGGGCGGAGGUGUCUUGGUUCAGGAUCGAUGGGUCUUUAACUAUUGAGGAGCUUCCUUCCAUCAUGAUGCUGCCUGCACCUGAUGUGAAAUCAUCCAUUUUGUUCAUGUUAUCAACCAAAGAAUCUGAGGAUGAGUUGGAUGCUGCACUAACGAGUCCAACGGAUGCACUUUGCUUUGCCCGCACUCUUUUUUUCCAAUUUCCUAGUGAUACUCUUACAUUUUCAGAAACUACAGAUCUCUUGAACCUUGAUCCCAUCUGCAACAACGAAAGCCACAAACAAAAUGCAAUCGAUCGAGAGCCAUAUAGAGAUAAGACACAUAUAUACGUUCUGGGUUGAAAAAGCAAAGCUAUUUAGUAUUUAGAUAUAUAAUAUAUUAAUAUACCUGUGUAAUGAUAACAUAGAGUGGAAAUGUGAUGAAGCUACACCAGCACUGUGUCACAGUUCUGCAUAUACAAUUGAGCAACAAAUUAUUAUCACUUGGUAAAGCCACAAAAUAUUUGGCUCGUAAACAUUGAAAGGGGGUAAGAACGAUGUACCCAAAUGUCAAGCGGAUAACGACAAAGCUACGAUUUUCCAUGAAACAAGAAGGUUCCUUGAUUUCCCACUGGAAACAAAAAUCAGAAUCACCAUCAUCUUCAUGAAAGCAUUGCUAGAUGCAUUAGUUUUAGCAAUGGAGAAAUCUAGUUCGUUAUAAUUAUGUGUUUCUCCUAGAAUGUCCAACAAAAUAUUAUCCUCAAAGGAUAAAGAAAGUUAUAGAGAGCUCAAACAAAUAAAUAAGCAUCUACUUUUGGAACGAUUGGCAUUUUACAAUGAGCAAAUCAGCCAAGACCUUACCAGGGACCAAAGGAAUGUUGCCAUUUCUAAUGCAUUCUGCAAAAUCAAGCACAUAUCCAUAGAAAAAAUUAAUCUUUCUGAAAACCGGGCAAACUCAUAACUAAAAUAUCAAGGCAAUAAAGAGGGCCUAACUCACCUGGAAUGAUAUUAGUUGUAUCAAAUGCAAAAGAAGCUUGGGCUUGCCAAACCAGAAGAGAUCAUCCCUCAGAUUAAACUGGUGAUAUCCAUCCCAUGGACAUUUAUCCAUGAUUUCAACAGCUAACUUUACCACCACCCGGUGUAAUUUUGUGCCAAUCAGCAGUAUUAACUUCAAUGUGCAUAAAACACAAUAAGAAAAUGCAGCAGAGGAAGAGAUAGAGAGCAAGGGAGAUUAGCAAAUUUGAGUGCUAUAAACAUUUCGGAAAAGCUAAAAGAGAAGAAAUGAUGAUCACUUACAAUGGCUGGAAUGAAUGAAAGCCAAAGGUAAGUAUUAGUUCCUAGAUGAAAAUCACAGAAUCCAAACUCUAAAAUUAGUUUAGGAAUAAAGGGGGAAAACCUCACAAAUUAAUUCCGUGCCAAAAAGAUGCAAAGAUAUCCUAAGAAAACUGAAUCAAUGUAUAUGCUUACAUGCUACUCUCUAAAUUGCAGCUAUGAGAAUUGAGCCAUCACAUGAUUUAGUCGGACAAUGCAAACGCUUACAAGCAAAAUUUUGCAAUUGUACUAUUUGAUUGAGUGAGAAACUGAUACCGCAAAACGACAUAUAAUUUUUCUGUUCUGCUCUUGAGGACGUCCAAAACUUUUGUUGAACACUACUAAAUUUCUUUUGGAUGACCAGAUAUUUCAAAUGAAAUUCAUUCAAGUGGCCUACUUGCACAGAUAUGACACUAGAAAAUAAUGACAUGCAAUUCACUAGAACGGUGUUUGCUCAUCAGUUAUUACUUUUCAAAACACGGAAAAUUACCGUGGAAAUUCAGAAGAGUGCAACCAAUGGCAUAAAUCCAGAGUGGCACACUGCAAAAGAAGCCUCAGAAAUAAAUCAAAUUGAUUUAAGGAACAAAAAAAAUACCACACUAAAGAGAAUGAAUUUAGAAAAAGAAGGAAGAAAAGAGAACAAGCAUGCAUAGAAGAGUAAUAAGUAUUACCUAAUGCCAACAAUAUCACGGAAUUCUUCCUCCAUGCUUCGAUGCAUAUACUUAUGGAAAUCAUACGUCAAAGGAAGUUGAUGAGUCUACAAAUCCAGAAAGAAAAAUAUAAAAGACAGGUUUGAGACAGUUAUUAGCUAUUCAAAUUAUUUGUCUUCUCAGACGAAUUUUAUUUGCAAGACGACGACUCAAGACAAAGGAAAAACAAAAAACAAAUGAAGCAAAUGAAGGUAUGUUUUCAUUUACUGAAACGACUAUUAAUGGCAAGAUAGGCAAGCAGACUAUUCACUCUUCAAAAUUCAAAAAUUUCCUCGUGUCAUCUAAAUGGUUCAACAGCAAUACCCUUCCCCAAUUAAGCUUAUGAGUACCAUAUAUGCAAAGAGAGUACUGAAGAUCCACCAGAACCUGUGAUCAAAAGAUAUAAAUUGAAGAGUCUUCACUAAAACUUGAUAAUACUUACAGUGAUAAAACCCAAGCGCAGAGCCAUGUAAUCAGCUCGAUUUAUAGAACUCCAAAAUUGCCGACUGAAGCAAAGCUGCAAAUUGAAAAUUGGAGAUUAAAAGGCUACAUAUUAAACUAAACUUUGGCCCAUAGUCAUGCAACUAUCAGAAUAGAAUGACGGAGAAGGAUUACAACUGAGAUUAGUUGUUGCAAGAAUCAACCCCUGGUUAUAGUUUUGGUAUCUCCUUAAUGCCACAUACAUCCAGGUGACGGGGACUUAGUGCUCCAAUGUUACAAGUUUUCCCAAUGAAACAUGUAUUUUUCCACUCCUCAAUACAUGAUCAAUAUCUUGAACUACCAAACACUGUAUUUAACAGUUCAAAGAAAUGAUGUAAAAUGAAAGAAUAAUCAUUUAAUCAAGUCGACUUUUAACUUGAACAUCAACAACUUUAGUGAUGCCCCAACAAAGACACCACAAAGGUCCUUAACAUCUAAUUUGAGUAUAUCUUCAACGUCAUUUAUUUGGCAGUGAGUCCUCCUCUAGUCUUUGUAACCGUUAGCCCCCUUCUUCACAAAUAUAGAGAGUAUGCACCAAGUACACAUGUAAAUAAAUUUUUUCCAUCUGUACAUUAUGGGGUAACUGUACUCUAAGAUACAACCCAAGCAACAUUUGAGCAAUUUGUCUUCUUUGAAAUUCAAUUAUAUUCAUCCAAAGGCUGAUUUGAGCAACUAGGUUCGGCAAGAAGUAACAAAUAUUGGUUCAGCAAGAUUUCUGGUUUGGGUAAAUUAAUUAAAUUAAUGCUUAAGAAUCCGUUCUCAAGCAUGAUAAUAAGAAAUAUCACCACAUAACACAUGAACCAGAUAAAAAGUAUAUGAUUUUGAGCAUGUAAGAAUACCAGCCAAACCAGAACUUUGUGCUGGCUCCAUGGAUGGGAUGUGCGGUGAAAGAUAAAGGUAGAUAGUCGCUUCAUCUUCCUGUUGCUUGAUGCAGCUUCCGAAGACUCUAGAUUUAAGAUAUUAUUACAAAAAGGAAAACUUGUCCUUUGAGAGCAUCUAGCAUGACACAGGACAAAAUAGCUAAAAACACACAGACAAAACCUUAAUUUAUUGGCUUGAAAAAUUUGCACCUUGUUCAAUCUGAAUAGCCAUGGUUAUAGCUUGGUUUUCCCAUGUUCUCCAGCUAUAGAUCUGCAAAUAUAAAACGAUGAGACAUCUUGGAAAAUAUUAAGCUCUAAAAAGCACAUUGACAAUGCAGAAGUGCUCCAACCUUAAUCAUGGCCAAGGCAAUGGCAACAAAGCUGUAAGAAACAUGCGUAACACCGAGAACGAAUAUAAAACGAUGAAGCUGCUCAAGACUUUCAUGCGAAGCAAAAGAUUCUUGGCCCUGCAAAAAAAUAAAAUAUUUCAAGGAAGUCUGUUUAGAUAUAGUAAACAGCAAAAGGGUUUAGAAAAAUGAAUAAUGAUCGGCAUCACUUAAUACAUUUAACCGGGAAAGCAUUGAAGGUUACAGUAGUAAUAUGAACUUCAUUGUCAUGAACGGAUACCUCAGGACAGUAAUAGCUCGACCCGUGCCUGGUUUGCACCUGCUCUCUAUCAAGUGAGGAAUUCAAAAAAUUUGAUCUUGAAACAAGAGUGUGAGCUACUGAUGUCAAGUCAGCCUUGGACGCACAUGGAUAGAAUCUGCUGCUCAGGGCUGAUGAUUUGACACAAAUUUUGGCCACGAAUACAAUCCAAUGCCCCAUCAACAAAGACAAAACACCAAAGAGCAUCAUCUCUGCAUAUAUUUAAAUAACUAACAUUUCAUGGGAUCAAGAAAUCACAAUUACGUAUGCGUCAAUAUAUUGAUUGAACAAAACCAUAUCUAAAGAUUAAAUUCUCUUACCAUCUUUGAUCUUCUCAAGAGCAGCAAGUAAAGAUUUUCUCUUAGUCUUUUCCAACCACUAUCGAAACAAACAUUCGCAUUCCAUCAAAAAAAGACAGCAUGUAAUGAAGGAAACAGUUAAAGAAAUUAGAAGAAAAAAGCUGUCAGUUUUACCUUGCCAAAAUGUUUCAAACAAGUAUGAACAAAGAACCCAAAAAUGAUCAUAACAGUGAUGACAGUAGCAACAGCCCAAGUAGGGGUGUCAGCUAAUGAAGCUCCUUCUCUUACUGUUUCUUUCUUCAUUUCUCCACCAAAAGACAGUGAGAACUUGAGCUUCUGGGCAUAAGCAUAACAUUCAAUGUCUACAACCAACCAGGGACCUUAAAAACGCAUACCCAAUAAAAUAAAAUAACUCUUUUUCUUUUGACUGAGUCUGAUUUAUGAACAAAAUAUUUCAGGCCAUUAAUGGCAGCCAGUGUGAUGGUGGGCUUUUGUUGCGCUAAUUCACGAGGACACGCAUGAGUUGUUACAACACAUAACUUCCAAAGCAGUUGAGCACAAUGGGCCCGGUAAACAAGAUCUUCGCCAGUUAGGACUUUUGCUGAUUUCACGUUUUGGGACAGUCAAAACAACGUGUUUCUGUCUUCUAAUUUUUGUCUCGUGAAAAAAGAAAUUGUGAUUUAUGAAUCCACUUAGAGGCAUGCCAUUUUGCAGCAAUACCAAAGUUGUUGGACUGUAUUUUAAUUAAAAUUAUUAUUAUAAUAAAGAAUUUAUGGGGCAUCUUUCCAUGCAACGAACGAGAAAUAUUUAAUCGACGGACCAUUUUCACUUUUUAAUCUGUGUGACUACAAUUUUAGCUCACCAGCCAUAUCCAUAAAUGUGCAUAUAUAUUAAAAAGAAAAAAAAAUAGCAUAACUUUAAUCAAAUUCCCAUCAUUUUCUGCAACAAACGAACAAAAAUAAAAAAAUUGUACAAAUUACUAAAUACGACGGCGCCACCACAAGUUCGUUUUCUGGACAUUAUUACUGUGCGUAAUACAUGGAGAUAAUAAUGGCAAGUCAUGAUUAAUCAGAGGUCAGAUCGAUGAUCUGCUGGCUUUUCAUGCGCCUUCACCUUU